AGCAGCAGAAGGUACACCUCAUCUCUUCUUGAGGAAUUGCAUAUUAGCAGCAGUCGAUCUCUGACAUGUAUAUUUUCAAAAAACGAGUUACCUGCCACGCUUGAGUCCCUUCAAGUUGGCAAUCUACCUCCGUCUCUUAAGUCCCUUCGUGUUUGGGGAUGUUCAAAGCUGGAGUCAAUAGCAGAAAGGUUGGACAACAACACAUCUCUUGAAACAAUCAGUAUAGAUAGUUGUGGAAAUCUGGUGUCCUUUCCCGAAGGGGGAUUGCCUUGUGCGAAACUCAGGAGGCUGGCGAUAUCUAAUUGUAAGAGACUAGAGGCCUUACCCAAGGGAUUGCACAAUUUGAGCUCUCUUCAAGAAUUAACAAUAGGAAUAGGAGGUGCGCUUCCAAGCCUUGAAGAAGAAGAUGGCCUUCCCACCAACCUUCAGUCACUUGAUAUUUGGGGUAAUAUGGAGAUUUGGAAGUCAAUGAUUGAGCGGGGACGGGGAUUUCACAGAUUCUCCUCUCUGCGAUAUCUUUUAAUCAGUGGAUGUGAUGAGGACAUGGUGUCAUUUCCACUAGAGGACAAAAGAUUAGGGACCGCGCUUCCUCUUCCUGCCUCUCUAACGUCUCUGGAGAUUUUCAAUUUUCCAAAUCUGGAACGCCUAUCUUCUUCAAUUGUUGAUCUUCAAAACCUCACUGAAUUGCGACUCCAUAAUUGUCCCAAGCUCAAAUACUUUCCGGAGAAGGGCCUGCCUUCUUCACUGUUGCAAUUACAGAUCGUGGGAUGUCCGUUGAUAGCAGAGAAGUGCAGAAAGGAUGGAGGACAAUAUUGGGACUUGUUAACUCAUAUACCUCACGUUGUAAUAGAUUGGAAAUCCAUUUUUGGCGAUAACACAUAGGACGGCUGAAAUAUUUUGGGAAAUUUACGAAAAUAACCAUUAAUAUUUUAUUAUUUUCACAAUUAACCCUCUCAAUUUUUUUCUAUCAACAUUAGCCAAACACAAGCUUUUCUCCCCAAAUUACCCUUCUUUACAUAACAAAACCAACAUUAUUUCUCCCAUAUCGUCAAACCAAAAGCAGCUCUUCACUCUUGAAUCAUCAGCCAACGGCGACGGCAAAAGAUAACGGUAAAAGUGAUAUCCGAUCAUAAUCUAUCCAGAUCCAACACAAAUCGACAUCACGUAGUGGUAUGAGUUGUUUUCUAAACUUGCUGAACUGAGUCGGGGUGAAUCUGAAUCUGGCGACAGGCUGCCUGUCGCAGUAAAACUGUCUGUCGCACCAACCCUUGUAUAUUCAUUAAAACUGUAUUAUUUUGAUAGGGCUCAAAUAUUUUUUUUUUUAUAAUUUCAGGCUUAAUGGAUUCAGUUGUAUUUGAAUUGUGUUACGAUGGUUGGUGAGAGACAUUAGAGGAUGGCCGUAUGGAGUAUGUGAAUGGUAAAAAUCGAGUUUUUUUUGUUGGAAAAAAUUGUCUGUUUGAUCAGUUAUUGGCAAGAGUAUACGAGGUGUUACAAAUAAACCCUAAUGACUAUAGUAUCACAAUGAAGACAACUUUGAGGUCUAGUAACACAUUAUAUCGUAUAUGUGCAAUACCCAUGGAUAUAUGUGAUGAUGAAAUGGUGAGGGUUGUGUUGCAUAUGGCAUCCGAUGUAGCCAAUUUUGGAUGCAUUCCUAUAUUCGUGACCACAUCACCUCGAGUUCUGAGCGAAGGUAUUGAGCCACAUGUCGAUACAGAAACUUUGUUUAGAGCAAAUAUGUCUGGCCCCGAUAAUGAUGAAGAGGUGUUGCCAAGGACAAUAUCGCUGCAGCAAUAUUACUCUCCAAUCCACGACAAUUAUGACAACAUUGAUGAUAAUGGCGUUACGUUACAGGAUGUUGGAGCAACGGUAUUUCCAAUAACGACGUCGUUGGAACAACGGUAUUCUCCGUAUCACAACAAUGAUUUUUGGGACAAUGAUGAUUUUCAUAAUGAGACAGAGGGGGAUAAUAUUUUUGCAGAACCUUCUAAUAAUACGAGGGGGGGCACUCGUUUCAAUAAUGAUGGUGAUGAUGGAGGAGCCGGUCCUUCGAAUGUUCCGUCGUUUCAGCAUGAGGAUGAGUGUGAAGACAAUACUCCUGUGAAUAACAGAGGCAAUAGACUUAUUCCUUCUAUGGUUCGAUCGAGAAGGAGAAUUGACCCCCUUACAAGUCUUGCUCCAACUUUGCCUUCGAACAUGGUUGCUCCAAGCUUUGUUAGCAGUUGUGACUCAGAUGAUAUCAGUGUGGGUAAGCUAUUUGCUGAGAAGAAUGAGUUUAUAUUACAACUACGCAAGGUGGCCUUUAGAGAUAAGUUUGAUUUCAAGAUUGCACGGUCUACUACGACACGUUUCGAGGCUCACUGUUGUUCAGAAUCAUGUAAAUGGCGUAUUCAAGCAACUAGAUGUUCGAACGAGCAAAAUGUUCCUUGGGUGGUGAAGAGAAUUGAUAAUGUACACACUUGUCGUCGCGGAAUGUGAGUGAUGAGUCAUAAAUCCAGACUUUGUUUUUCCGAAAAUCAACUCGUGCUAGUACCCAAUGCGCGUCGUCCAAGUUAACAGGGAUGAGUAACUGUAUAUAACAAUUGAAAACAUGUUCGUUAUAUAUGAAAUUGAAAUACAACAAAGAAAAAGCGACAACUCGAAUAUUUUCAUUAUGGAGCAUGUGAAAUGCAAUAAAAUACAUACUAUAUCGACAUCCGUCAUUGAUUUGGACAUUGUGUGCUGUCGCCCACAAAGAUAACUAUUCAAGCGGUCGUUGAAUACCAAUGAAUCGACUGCACAAUCCCCGUUAUUCCAUAACUGAUUCAAGAACACCUAGUACAUAGAUAACCAAGAAAUGCAUAAAUUAACAAAACUUAAAGGCAACAAAAAAAAAUAAAUAGUAUUUAUAAGUUUUGUCGGCACGUUACCCAAAAAAAUGUGUCAAUAUGUGUGACACGUUGGAGUAAGGCAUUUGGAUACUGCCGUUGUUUCUCGCUAAUCAAGCGGAGAUACUCGUGAAUAUGCGGUAGAGAAACAGAAAUAUUACGAGUUAAAAGAAAAUUUUUGGUGAAACAAAUCCACAACAGUAUACAUAACUUCGAAAAUAUAAAUACCUCAUCGCCUAGCCAUCCCAUCGAAGCUGUACCCAAAAUUAUUUAAAAGAAUGACCGCAGGUGCUGGACUCUCCGGCGGACUCUGCUAUCACCAGUGAAUCAUCAAUCAAACUCAGCAAACAGACUAGAGUCCUCCAAUCCUCUCAGUGGAUUUACAUCCACACUUGUACUCAUGUCAACCGCAUGCUCUAUGAUUUGGGGUCGAGGUAAAGGCCAGACGUUCUGUCCUCGCCUGACCGGAGGAAUCAUGUAAGGACUGUUAUAAACAUACGAUGGUAUGUACGCGGCCGAACUUACUAACGCCCGGAGGCACCUCAGUGAACACCUGCACGCUCUCCCUAUUAACAUCCCCGUAGACACUAUACAAUGACGUGGGCGUAGACAAAUUUUCAUUGCCCACGUCAGUAUACAAUCCAUGGUCAUCUGGGGCCUGUCCAUUCGCCAAGAAGAACAUAUUAAACAACUAUCAAAUUAAAGUUAAACGAACAUAAUUAUUAAAUUUAAAGUUUCUCACCGCAUACGAGCGUGCAGUGGGAGAAUCCUUAUUUGGACGUUUAGAAAAUGUGUUGAUGAAGCCAACAACGGUUUCUUUAAAAUCUUUUAAUUCUGACUUUAUUUCAUACACGUUACGAUCAAUCUUAUCCAGCCGUCGUCGUAUGUAAUCAUUAAACUGCUUUGUCCUCGACUAUUACAAAAGAAAAAACAGAAAACUUUAGAAUAAUUAAAAAAAUUAAUAAUUUAUAAAGCAAAAAUAUCGUAUAUUAUUUAUAACCUCAGAAUCCCGUGCGUCAUUAGAGUUGUCUGUUUGCUGCUGGUGGUCAUCAACAGCCACCUCAUCCUCAGAAGUGUCAUGACGCUGCUCUGGUAUUGGGUUUGGUAUGUCGUCAUGAUCGUCAUGCUCGUCUAAUUGCCUUGUAACCGACGGCAUCGCGUUGAUUGAGGGUUGGUGAUGUAUAAAGUAUCAUUUAAAAUUAGUAAAUGAAAAGUCUAAAAUUUCGAUUAAAAAAUUUUUAGUACUUAGAGUAUACCAACCUUAUGAACCCAGUCUGGAAUGCUUGGCAAGUAAUCCUUCACAGAGAGCCAAUAUUUUCUGCUACUCUCCUUUGAAUUUGGCUCAAGAGUUUGUAAAACGUCCCCCUGGCAUAAAUUCAAUUGAAAAUUUUAAGUAUACAUAACUUCAAUUUAGUAAAGUUAAAAAAAUAAGUAAUACAUAUUACUUACAAGACGAGAUUCAUCGUUGAAGAACGAAUAAACCUCCGCAAAGUUGAUUCUCGAAGACGCCAUGGGCUUCCAUUGCAAAAUGCGGGGAAUAUUAUUCUUCGUUUUGACGACCCAUGUUGAUGGCAACCCUCCGAUUGCUUCGUAAAUCCAAGCCUACAACAACCAAAGUGAAAAAUCAAAUAAAACAACUAUCAAAUAUUUAAUACUAUAAAACUUAUUAAUAAACAAAAAAAAACGCACCUGAACCCCAGACGUAAAGCCGUAAAGAUUGUAUUUUUCAAUGUUAUGAUCUGGAUUUUUCAACCAAGUCUUCUUAAAUUUCUCGUCUUCUUAAAUUUCUCGUCUUUCUCGAACAGUGCAUUGUCAAGACUCUCGUAAAUCAUUUCCCACGACAAUAGACCCCAUGGACGCUUUCGGAAGUAUUGUAUAUCAUCAACUUGGUCAAGCCGAUCGAAAUUGAUUUGACAGUGAUUUUUUCUUGCAUUUAGUACUCUGUCCGCAAAAUAAAACAGCGUAAUCUUUAAUGCGUCCAUAUCAUCCAUUUCCUCGAAUUUCAACCCCUUAAAUAUUGCAUCGAAUUCGUUCACAUUAAUCUUACGAUGCAUACCACCAAAAUACGAAUUCCGUAGCCUCUGCUCCAUUUCAUCAUUUUUUUUAUUGGUAUCAACACCAAAUGAAAGUCCAGUAACCAAGCACCAUUCCACAAUUGACAAGCGAAUCAAAUGCUCACCAAUUUGAAACCAUAACUGAUCCUCACGGCUAUCUUCUUCAUGGGCCACUUGCCUCAGUAAAAGAUUGUGCAAAAUUACCCCACUAAAUGGAAAACUUCGACACUCCAAGAAAUGCCCAAAUAUAUCCUUUUUGAACAUACUCAACUGCCGCUUUGUUAAUUUUUCCUCGAUGGCUUUUACGACCGAAGCUAACUUACACAUGCUCGAAAUUCGACCAGGAAAGUGAUCGGCAUAACGAAAAUACAUCUUGCCUACUUCGAUAUCCGGUGAUUCUGAUUUCGCCAUGUAUUUGUAAUAUUUAUAAAAUUAUUACAUUACGUUUACAUAAACAAAAAAAAUUUGACUCGUUAAAAAAAAAAAAAACACUCUAAUUUUUUGUGCAACAGGCGCGCGCCUGUCGCACCAGAGACAGGGCCUGUUGCAUCAGCUUUGGUGCGACAGCGGGCGCGCAUGGGCGCGCGCACGCGCCCUGCCACCCUCCUUCCCCACCCCCAAAAUUAAGACACAACACUUCAAAAUCGAAAAACAAUACUCCCAAACACCACCAACCACCACAAACACCACCACCACCACCAUUAUUCUCAAGCUAUAACUAUUAUUAUUCUAAAAUCUCAUUUUAAAUUAAUGAAAAUAAGAAAAAUGACUAACCUAGGUUUUGUUGAAGGUUGUAGAUCGUAGAUCAGAUGCCGAUGAGAGAUGGAGCCGCCGCUGACGAGGGUUGAUGUCGCAGCCGAUGAUGGGAGUUGGAUCGGUUUGGGAGAGAUGAGUGGAAGGGAGUGUUGGGGGAGAGAUGAGGGAGGGGUAUUUUGGUCUCAAAAGUCGUUUUAUGGCUAAUGUUGAUAGAAAUAUUUUUGGGUGAUUAAGAUGAAAAAAAUCAAAACUUUAAUGGUUAUUACUGUAUAUUUCCCAAAUAUUUUAUUGUUAGCAUUAUUAAUAUUUUUUUAAAUCGGGUGUGUUUGUGUAUGUAAUUUUAAAAUUCAAAUCUCAAUUGAAAACUAUUUUAAAUUAAUAUGGUGUGGUGUCGGUGGGCUUUUUGUAUUGUAUAUAAUGGGUUUUCGAAUUUUUUUAUAAAAUUGUGGAAUGCUUUAAAAAGAAAUGGUAGAAUAACGUAACGGGUUUGCAUUAUUCAGCAGAGGAGGACUGUAUUAAUGUAUGAAUUAAUUAGCCGAGGAGGACUUUGGCAAAAAUUGUUUUGAAAUAGAUUGGAAAUUGGUUUUUGGUGAUAUUUUUGAUUUGUGAAAGGAUGGACGACUGAAAUAUUUUAUUAUUAGUAUUUUCUUUUUUUCAAAUUAGGCGUUGAAAUGGAUGGUCAAUUAGUUUUCGGUGACUGAACAGUGGACGACUGAAAUAUUUUAUAAUUACUACUUAAACACGUAAGGGCUAGACUGUAUUGCGAUGUUACUUAUACUCUUUAAAUUAAUCACUAUGGGCAAGUUCUUGAAUUAAUUGUUUAUGUGCCAUCGCUAUUAAUAUUUAUAAAUAUAAUUUAUCAGUUAUUGAAUAUUUGGCGCUCACACAUCACUGAAUUAAAUCGCAGCCCAACACAUUCAGAUUCAACUUAAAAAGCAUUCAGAUUUAAAUUCCAAAAAAAAAAGUCACAAAUUAAAAUCACAAAUCAAUCAUCAUACUCAAAUAAAGCUCAGAAAUUUAUUCAGUAAACAAUAAGAAAACGAAAAUUUAAACGAAAAAAAAUAAGAGUAAACACAGACAAACAUAGGACGAAAAACAGAUCGAAACUAAUUCACUUCAAUUUCACAUGAAUCUAAAUUAAUUGAUUAAUUUAGAACUCGAAUUAAAAAAAUCAAAUAAAAUUAAUUACAUUAACUGGAUCUUAAUUAAUUGAUUAAUUAAUCCUCAUCUACCGAUUUCAUUUAACAAAACUUUUGGCUGUCCCUUCAUCUGAACUGUUCCAGAAGAUUUGUUUGCAGUAGGCUGGUUGCCCAUUCUGCAUCAAAUUUGAACUCAUAAUUAGUGAAUCAAGAAAUUAUUUCAGAGACUAGCUAUGUUAACCGGCUGAUGACAACAGGUUUCACCAAGAUUUGACACCACAACCACACAUCGGUUCAUGAUAACCACCAGUCACUGCUCAAAUAGACAACUAUCAAUUCCGGAAAUUUUAAAUAUUUUGAAUGAUAAUGUUUCAAUUUCUUAAAGUUUAGGGGUGAGAUAAAACAAUUCCUCACAUCUUGCAUAUGUACAUUAUCAUGUUAUUAAUCUGAUUUAGACAGAUGUCAAAUUUUGAAUCCUUUUAUGCACUACAAACCAAAACUAGAAACAAUCUAAACAUUUUAUAGUCACAAAAUAAACCCAUACACGGUGUCUAAAAUGCUCACAAUCAUCACAUCAUGGGAUUUCUCAAACCCUGUAGGGCUUUUCUACCAGAGUAAUUUGUUCCAACAGAAAACAUUAGGUAAAAAGUUAUUCAUUGCAGAAAUUUCAUCACAAUGCACAUAACCAGCAACAAUGGUGAUUGUUGAAUAAGAACAGUCGGCAAGAAGGAAAGAGUUAAGUGAUUUUACUUUUUCUUAAUCUCGCCGGCCAUGGUCAAGAAAGCCUGCUCCACAUUGAUUGCAUCUUUGGCACUCGUCUCCAGGAAAGGAAUCCCCAGUUCAUCUGCAAAUGCCUGCAUUUCACUCGGAGACCAACAGAAAGUCAGAAAAAUCAAUGUAGUACGUUAUUUGGAUACAAUGAUAUGCCACCCAUAAUUUCUGCAUCUGCUGCUUGAUGCCAAUAGAUCAGCCGAUGUACUGUCUUAAUCAAUAACAAGUCAACACAAAGUCCAUAACUCCGUCUGUUGCUAAAAACCAACCCAACAACUUUCUCUCAGUCAUACAUAAAAGCAUUUCCAAAGUCUUGAAAGAUAUUUUAUAGAAUAAGUACCUUGGAAACUUUAAAUCACAUGAAGAAGCAGAAAAAGAUGCUUUCUCCUUAACAUCGUGAAGCACUUUGAUGUGCAGAUCUUGUAGCUUAAUGCUCAACAUAUCACAUUAGUCUAAGUCAUGAGUUGAAAACAAGAUUCUUAUAAAAUCUUAUUGCAUGCAAAUUAUGCAGUUAAAAUUUACCAAUUUAUAUAGAUAACUAAUUAAUAGAAAUUAUUCAUUGACAAACAAUAGAUAUCUUAUGAAGUGAUAUUCCCUAAAGAAUCAGACUGCCAAAUCCCUUUAGAUAACCUUGGAAAGAGACCAGGAAAACGAUACAGAUCUCACCCUAACCAACCAUUUGAGUGAAGCACUAUGGGUGGCAAGUUUCAAACUGAAUUACAGAGGUUAGCAGCCAGUAGCUCAACCAAAACACAAGUACGAGUGACCGUGUAUUAUCUUGCAAGUGUGUGCAUGGGAAGGCAUGCAAACAGGUAAGUGAAAGACAGGUAAGUCCGUAAGUGGGGGGAGAGAGAGAGAGAGGUCUAACUCUAAAGCACAAACCUCAUAUGAACUUCAAUAGAUCCAUUAGACUAUUUUUUAAUUGGGGUUGUCCAUAUGGAUAAGAUUCGACAUGGAAUGAGAAUACACCAAAACGGACAUUCAAGGCUCAAAACGAAUUAGAAAAUACAUUAGAGGAAAGUAAAUGAUUCUCUUUGGGCAUGUUUUGACUUUCUUUUCCCAAAAAAGGGGUAAUAUUAGUCACCAUUUAAGGAAAAAAUUGCUUUAAUAAAAAUUUUAUUUUCAUUAUUCAUUGAUAAUCACUUAGAGCAAUUUGGCACGGCCCUUGGAAAAAAGGAAAAGGUAUUUAAGGAUCCCCCUACUCAAUUUUAUUGGAAACACACUCAACACUGAAGGAUAUGAUACAAGAGACAUUUACAUGAAGAGUCAAACUUGUGUUCUAGUAAGUCCAAUUCUCACUGAGCAUGCACAUGAUAAAAGAUUAACAAAGAAAUACAAUUUAUUAAACAAUCAGUUGGAUUAAAUUGACUACUUUAAGAAUUUAUUAAACAAAGAAAUAUUACGAACAUUUAUUUUAGGGGAUAUUAUCAAUUGACUACUUUAAGAAUUACAAUAUAUCAAACAACUACAAGAAGUAUUUUAGUCUAUCAUUUUACUACUAUAUCUUUACAAAACUUAUCAUUUUACUACAUUUCCGUUAGUACAAAAAAAUACCAAUUUCACCCUUGGAAAAAAUUACACAAAUAGAGGUAUCAAAUAUUAUAUUCAUAGGCUAAUAGGAAUUAUUUGUAGCUACUUUCUAUUUUGAAUUUAUAAUAUUGUAAUACUUUGUGUGUUAUUUUUUAACCAAAAAAGAAUUAAUGUAAAGUGCAAAAUUGAUAUUUUAUCAGUUAACCAACAGGUCAACUAUCGGUGCUAAUGAAAUGUAGUAAAAUAAUGGGUUUUGUCUAGAUAUAAUAGUAAAAUGAUGGAAUCAUAUUUUUUAUGGACUUUAGAUUUAUUGCAAUUCUUGAAUGAUUCAAACGAUAAUAACCCUUAUUUUAACAAGUCGUAUUGACAGAAAAGAUUCCAACUCGAGAUACAGACUGUCCAAAGUUUGAGUGUCCUGGGUAUGCAGAAACUUACCAAGCAAAUGCACUUGAGAAGAGUUUAAAAUUAUAUUCAAAGUUCAGGCGACAGAAGUCACGAACAUACCUUGGCUGUCUGUGUGUCCACAACCUUGUUCUCAACAAAAUCGCAUUUGUUCCCAACUAGAAGCUUGCAUACACUGUCAUUUGCGUAUCUGUCAAUCUCAUUCAACCACUGCUUGACAUUAUUGAAGCUCUCCAUCCCAGUUACAUCAUAGACAAUCUGUUGAAAUCCCAACACAUUUAAUUAAUCUCAUACAGUUGCUCAAUUAAAAAAUUGGAAAAACAAAAUUACCACUUAUUCUUUCUUAAAAGAGAAUACAGCAUUGCAAGACUUUUACUUCCGACAACAUCAUAUGUCAUAAGAAUUUAUUAGACAAUUUGCAUCAUAUUAUGGCUCCCAUUCUUGGACUACAUCAUCUUGUAUACAGAUUUAUUGGAAAAUGUACUGCUUAAUGAAAGAUGAAAAAUAAGUUAAUAAACACAUACAAUGCUGUUAAGAUGUCACAUGUAAAUCACAAACUUUCUUAUUUAAACCAAGAACCGUGAAGGCUCCAUACUAUGAUUCCAUGGGCUCCUCGGUAAUAACUGCUAGUUAUAGUCCUGAAUCGCUCCUGUCCAGCAGUGUCCCACUAAACAGAUGAAAAACAAUCAAACAUAAGACAUUACCUAAAUGAUGUUUAUAAGACAAAUACACUCAUUUCAACAUAUCACUCUUCAAACAAAGAAAAUAAGACAAGGUUCUUGAACAUAACCUUCACUAAAUAAGACAAAUCGAAUUUCUCUCAAUAAAAGAUAAAAGGAAAUUUUGACUCACAAUCUGCAGUUUGAUCGUCUUCCCAUCCAGCUCCACAGUUCUUAUUUUCUCCCAAAAAAAAAAAAAAAAGAGUAAAAUGCUGAAGUCUGCCAACAUUUCUUUCCACAUAUGCAUACACAUACAUACAUACACGUACAUAGACUCAUAUUAUAACUUAUACACAUAUAUACAUAUAUAUAGAAGAGAGACUCACAAAAUCAACUCCAAUGGUAUUGAUGUAGCUGUGACAUAAGAAUCAUCCUGAAAAAUUGAAAAAAAAAAAUUACAUUAAUAAACCUAAAAACUAACAAUUAACGUAAUGAAAACCGAAAUUUACAAGAAUAACAAUUAUUUAUCAUCUAAAUUAUCAUUUUAAUAACACAAAUUCAAAGAACAAAAAGCUAAAAUAGAAAGUAAUUAAUAUAAAAAAAGAAAAUAAGAAGGGAAAGGAAAAGUCAACAGACAGCAAAUCGGAGCAGCAGGCAGGACUUUCCGACGGACGAGUCUCCGAUAAGCAACAGCUUGAACAGAUAAUUGCUUCAACAAAAAAAAUGAAAAGACAAAAAAAAAAAAAUUUUUGAAGUAUUGUCAAAUUAAAAUGAGUAUAUGUUAACAAUGUUAAUAUCAAAAAAAGGAAGGAAACAGGGAGGCUCACUAUUCGUUGCUCAUGAUUUUGGAUGGAAGUGAAGAAUCUUGCGAUGGUCCUUUUGCUCUGUUUGGAGAGCGAGAAAGAGAAAAGAAAAUGAAAGGGAAAGUUUGUUUGUGCUGUGUCGUGCGGGAGAAUUUCCUAUCUCACCUCCGGAACUUAGCUUUGUCCACUUAUGAAGACACUCAUGCCCAAUAAUUAUAUUAUCAGUUAUGAGCCUAUUUGGCAUAAAAGCACUCUGAGUUGGCGAAAUAACAUGAUCUAAUAUUAGCUUCAGCCUAUUCGCUAUAGUCUUUGCAAUGAUCCUAUAAAUUACAUUACAUAUGCUGAUUGGUCUAUACUCCAUCAGAGUCCUAGGUUUUGCUAUCUUGGGGAUUAAAGCAAUGUAUGUAUGAUUCAAAGGAGCAAUAUUACCUCCAUCAUUGAGGAUAUGCAGACAAGUGGCUAUAACUCCUUCGCUUACUGAAUUCCAAAGCUUUUGGAAAAAUACUGCUGGGAGACCAUCUGGGCUAGGGGCUUUGGUUGGAUGCAUCUGACUCAAAGUUUCUGUGAUAUCAGCUUCUGUGAAAGGCUGGUCCAAUUGAGAAUUCAUUUCUUAUAAAUGAGUUUAAACAUUUUAAUUUGACCUGAUCUUACAGCAAUUCAAUCCAUUUUACAUGAGGAAGCACAGAGUGACUUGAAGUAUUGUGAGCUAGACAUCAAUAAUUUUGUUCCUUCAAUCCAAAACUCAAAAAAUUUUUGUAGCCUGUGCCCCAUCUUUUCCAAACCUAAGACAUCUUUAAGUUUCACAAGCUAAUGAGUUGGCCUCACCUAACCUUGGCUGGCCCAUGACCACUGAUUCAGUGCAAGCAGCAGCAACUUUAGACCAUCAGCACUUGUAGGACUAGUGUAAGUAAUUAAAAUAUGAUGUUAUUUUUUACUAUCUCUUGUAACUUAAAUAACUACGGGAUAGUAACAUAAUGGCUAAAGAUCUUAAUGUUUCAAAACCUUAGUUGCACCAUUACAACUCAAUAAUUAACUUUUUAUUUUUCCUACCUGAUUUAACAUAUAUAUUUGUUUUCCAGAGAAGUAUUAAAAUAAGGUGACUUGAUAAACUCAAAUAUCAUGGGUAGAAUGUAACUCUAGGGCUUUUAACUCAAGUGGGUUGAGUCAUGCUGGAGGUCAACCAAAACCGAAAAUGUGGAAUGAAGAAUACUCAGCUCCAAACACACAGCUGACAUAUGCUUCAGCAGACUCUCGCACUAACUUAAUGUGUGCAUAGCUUUUUAACAUAAAUUCACUAGAAUAGGGGCUAGGUUUUAUUAGUUCAACAUUAGUAACGCGAAAUGCUAAGUAAAUAUUUUCCAACUUCCUUUCAUUUUACUGUACAGCACUCGGUCUCAUCACGGUGAGUCUAAACAGAUCACUUCAGGAAUAGCUAAAGCUAUAAUACUUUCAACCCACCCCAAGUCACAGCCUUGAUUCAAGACAUGAAACCCCAAGCUUAAACAGAUUGGUUUCAACUUGCAUCACUAACUUCAACAUGUGGAGAACAGUCUUCCAAUGACAAAAUCUGCCGGCCCAUAAUUUUCACUUGCGAAUUAACUGCAUCUUAAAUACAUAACUUUAAAUCCCAAACUUUCACCCCAAUAUAUAGCUAUCACAAUUUGGCGCUCACAGAUGACUUAAUUAAAUCGCAGCCCAACACAUUCAGAUUCAACUUAAAAAGCAUUCAAAUUUAAAUUCCAAAAAAAAAGUCACAAAAUUAAAAUCACAAAUCAAUCAGCAUACACAAAUAAAGCUCAGAAAUUUAUUCAGUAAACACUUCAAAAACGAAAAUUUAAACCCAAAAAAAAGUAAUAGUAAGUACAAAUAAACAUAGGACGAAAAAGAGAUCGAAAGUAAAUCACUUCAACUUCACAUGAAUCUAAGUUAGCCUAAUCUAGAACUUUAUUUGAAAGAUUAAAUAAAAUUAAUUACAUUAACUGGAUCUUAAUUAACUAAUAAAAAUGAAGAGAAGUGAAAGAGGAAAAGUUAGUUACUUGAAGAGUGCGGGUGGCGAAUUCGACGCCAAUAGCGGAUUUGGACUCCAAACAGAACUCGUUACGAGUAAAUCGGGAGAGUAAGUUCGAUUUGCCGACUCCCGAAUCGCCAAUUAAUACCACUUUGAACAAGUAAUCGUAUUCCUCGUCCGCUCUUCUCGCCAUUUAAAUUUAGAUAUGGGUAAUUUUUAAAAACCUCCCUUGAGGUUUGGGCUUGUUUCAAGUAGAUGGCGAGAAUUUAUUUAUUUGUAAAAAAUUCCUUACCGUCAGUUAAUUUUAACAUUGACCGUUAGUUGACUGUGUAAAGAUAAUAUUAUCCUUAACAAUAGUUUGUAGACGGAAAUAACUAAAAAAAAAUUAAAAUUAUUGGCUAUUUUACCCUCUUUAAAUUAUUGAUAUUUUCUUAAAGUUCCUACAAGAAAGAUAAAAUUAAAAUUUUGAAAAAUCAUCUUUAAAUUAUUGAUAUUUUCUUAAAAUUUCUACAAAAAAGAUAAAAUUAAAAACUUGAAAAUGAAAUAGUUAUAAUCUUUACCUAUGAUAUUGUAAAUCUUUGGAAUUGACAAGGAUAAAAUUGUCAAAAAAUAGGGUUUGUGCUUUUCGUGCCAACAAUUUUAAUUUUUUUUUAGUUAUUUCCAUCUACAAACUAUUGUUAAGGGUAAUAUUAUCUUUGCACAGUCAACUAACGGUCAAUGUUAAAGUUAACUGACGGUAGGGGGUUUUUUACAAAUAAACAAAUUCUCACCAUCUACUUGCAACAAGCUCAAAACUCAGGGGAGGUUUUUAAAAAUUACCCAUUUAGAUAUUUAUCUUUAUAUAAUAAAUGAAAAAUGAGAGACGACCGAUUCUUCAGUUGAAGAAAUGAAGCUGAAUUUAAAGCGCAGAGUCGGAAACAAAUGUGCUUCUUUAGUUUAUACGUAGAUACAUUCACUCCGGUAAAAUGAUGAAAAGAGUCAUUUUCAAUAAAACUCGUGCCCUUCUUUUGAUUUUAUUUUAACAGUUUCCUCUUCAUUUAUAUUUUAUAUUUAUCUUUAUAUAAAAAUAAAAAUAAAAUAAAACGAAAUUCAACCAAUUUUUCAGUUGAAGAAAUAAGAUGAAUUGAAAUCGUAGAAUCGGAGAAUGUGAUUUUGAUUUCUCAGUUUAUUCUAAAGUGAGUUUGAUCAGCUGAUUUCAAGCACAGAAAUUGUUGACUUAAAUUACUAUAGUAUCCUUGAACUUUUAGGUGGUCUUUAAUUAAUAUAUGGGCAUAAUUGAAAAGGAAUGUCUCCCACAUUAAUUGUUCAAUAUUAAUAAAUUAUCAAUGAAAUAACAAAUUUAAAUGAAGUUUCGUGAUUCUUGAAUAAACGAAAAAUACAAAAACUGUCUUAUUAAUUGAGAUACAUUAUUAUUCUUUGUGUUUUCUUUUCACUAAUCAGUAAAGUAGUUCUCAAGUAAAUUUAUUGAGAUCUAAUUUUUUAACCUUUUUUUUUAGUUUUUCGUUCUCUCAAAUCUCAAUGGUUCAUAUUUUUUACAACUUACUUCUGUUUAAAUGUUGGUUGAGAUAUAACUAUAUAAAGGAAAUUAAAUAUUAUUCACGUUGGCAAUGCUCGAAACUAUGUAUUGACAAUACCACUCUAAGAGUUUUCAUCAUCUAAACAAAUUACCAUCAUAAAAAAGAAAGCACUUUUUUAUUUUCUUUUAAUUUUUAAUUGUCUUUCGAAUUUGUUAUUAUGUAUUACGUCAAUUAAUCCCCAACCCUAAAUUAAGUGUGAGUGAGAUUUAAACUUUAGAUCGCUUCAGUCAUUUCAAAAUGUCAUACCAUUUAAAUUGACUAAUUAACACAUUUAUUUUCAUUUAAAAAAAGACAUAUCCUGGUGUCUUUUCUCAUUCACUUUAUUAAUACUUGUUGCAAAUUAAUGGGAAAUUAUUUAUUUUUAAUUUUUCUUCACUCAUGCUCGGCUUUAACCAAACAGACGAUGUUCUACAAACUUUUAUCCAAUAAGGCAAUGCAAACAAAAGCAAGUGAAUCCACCCCCCCCCCCCCCCCCCCCCAACCAAAAAAAAAGCACGUGAAAGGUGUAGAUAGAUUCCCACAUCGGAAAAGGAAUUUCGUGAGCUUGUUUUUUUAUUUAAUUUUAUUUUCUACAAAAUAUGUCAGCCUAUGUUGAUGAAUGUGAAAAUUGGUUAAAAAAAUAUUAUAGUAAUAGCAAACGCUAAACGUUAUGAAUAUUCUGCUGGCAUGCAAGCGAAGGAAACGAAUAAUCCUAUGAGAAGGAAAUUUCUCACACGUGCGAGCGGCCGAAACGCGUUUGGAGCUGUUGGAUUUCCAUGAAGGGCAUUAGGGGUGAGCGGGAGGAGGAAGAAGAAAAGAAAACGAGGAGGCCGCGGUCGAAUAUUUUAGUUAGGGUCAGUUUUAAUUUUUGGGAUUUUUUUUCUUAAUUUGCUUACUUAACUCGAUUGGAUUGAUUAGUCUUUUGGGGUUAAAUUCAAACAGAAAUACAACCCAAUCAUUUUUAAGUUUUGAACUCAGUUGAAAGCUUCAACCAUAACCAAAUUGAAUCCAAAAUAAAUUUUUAGUUUGGUUCGGUUCGGGUUAAUCCGAUCUUAAUGUCCACCCUUGAUUGGGCAUCGAUAAUGCAUAUAUUUGCACAUGCUUCUUUGAAACUUACAAGUCACGCUCUCAUGAUUCUAAAUUUUUAAAUAUUUAUCUUGAUUUUGUGUCUUUAUAUUAUGAAUUUUAUAACCCAUACCUAUAUUUUCAAUAUUUGAACUUUUUUUUAAUAUUCCUAAUAACUCAUGUCUAUUAAUAGGAGGGGAUGUAAACUCCUAAUUACCCCUAUCCAUCAAUAGGAGGGAAAUUAAAGUUUUAACACCAAUACAAAACAAUACAAAUUUCUAGUGUGGAUUAAAAGUUCUAAAACCUCAAUAGUAAAUAAAGCCUUAGUGCGUAAAAAUCUAUCCUAAAUUUCUCUGGACAAGCCAAAAGUCCACUAUGUCAAAACAUUGUGUUCAUGUCUCCAAUAUGUAAUUUAUAAGGAUUCGAAGUUACAAUAAUAGAGAAAAAAUAAUAAUUUGAAAAAGAGAAAAUCUUUGGGAGAUAUGUGUCUCCCCCGUUAUUCAAACAACUUCUAGGCUUUUUAUAAGAGCCACAUGAUAUACAAUACUAACUACACUUAGGGUGGCAAAAUCAUCGCAAAUCCAAAGUCUUGGCCGCAACGGAUAAUUUUUGCGAGCUGCAAUCAGGUUUGAUAUUAUAAAUUUAAACCUAUUGAAAGUUGCAGGUCGAUUUUUAUAGAGAAAAAAUUUGGUAAAUAGUUGCGCAAGUGUCCGACAUUCUUAUUUGAAUGUUUGUAUUUUUAAUUUUAAUCAUUAAAUUUCAUUAAAAAAUUAUUCAUAAAAAGAUAUAAGGAUCUUUAACUUAAAGCAUGGAGUAUGAUAUGCUUAUUGUAAUUUUGUACUUUAUACUUUGUUUAGAAAAAUCGUGUUGGAUGGGUGCUAGUGGUAUUGAAUGAGACUGUAAAAUGGGUCAUGGCUGCUACUUUGAUUUGUAGUUCUUUGUUUUUUUUUUCUCUUUCUCUUUUUUUGUUUUCAAUUGAAAACACUUUGAGUUGCGAUAGACUUAUUUAUUUGGUAAUUAAAUUUAAAAAUUUGUGUUAAAUUGAUAUAUUUUGUGUAUUUAUUUUAAUGUUAAAACUGUCAUUUCUCAUUUACAUUGAUAAAAUCUAGAAUUAAGUAUUUUAUGUGAUUUUUUAGGCUACGAUUAUAAAUUUAUAAUUUGAAUUACGUAAUUUAAAUUUUUAAGUUUUGUUGCAAGUGUGAUUUUAUUAGUGGGAACUCACAAAAUAUCUACUAGGUACCAUUCAAACCCGCAGCUGAUGGGUGACGUGAACUUGGUCAAAACUAGACUCAUGUAUAGCAAGGAUUUCGUGAAUCUCUUCGCAAAAUUCAGCAUUUGAUUUGUUGCGUGUUUCCAUGGAUCAUUUGACGGCUCGAAUACCACUUGAUAUGUAAUUGUAAGGAUUUGAUGCUACGGCAGAAGGGGAAAGAAAAGGAUCACUUGCUAGCUGCAAGAAUUAGCUAACCAACAAUAUGUGGAGUUUUUUUUUUUUUUUAAAUAUCAAGAAGAGAGAGCACAAUUAACCUAACACGAAUACACUAACUUAGUAAAUACAUUGCACACAAUGAUAUUUUUUUUAUUAAUUUCUUUUUACAAGAAGACACGGUACACAAAAUUAAAUAAAGAAAAUCUCUUGUAUAUCUCAAGAGAUUUUAUAUAUACAAGAGAUUUUAUAAGUUGAACUAAACCAAACAAAGACACUCCUAACAUAAUUGACAGGUAAUAAUAACCCAUCAUUUUAUUAUUAAUUAAACAUAAUACGAAAGAGUUACAUAACAUUUAACCGCUAUGGUCAAGAUUUCUUCCGUAUUGAAGAACGAGAAUAAAACCUAAAUUGUCAUUCACGCUCUCAUCAUUAAUAAUACUGUACAUAGUUAUUGGGUUACCCUCAGACCAUCCAUUCUUACCUGAAAAAAUCAUAACAAUAAUUGUAUUCAUAAAUACAUAAUGUUAAAAUAAAAAUUAUAAAUGACAUUCAACUAAACAUGGCCUAAGAACCUGGAUAAGGAGUUUCCAUCUUCUUCAAAUUAGAAAAGAUAUCUUCUAACGUCUGAUGAACCCUAACCAAAACUUAAAGAGGAUCACGCAUCAGGUUUGAUAAUAUGCUGCUGAUAUUUAUACACACAUUCACACAAGUAGCGAAUGUGGGUCGUGAUAGUGUUUGUCGGCAAUAAUUUAAUUACAAGACAAACUAAUUGCAAUCAUUAAAGUUAUCGUUUCGUUCAUUAAAUGUGGCCACACAUUCAAAUGCCUUUCACAAAGUUUUCCAUGGGUGAGAUUUGUCACAGGCAAUACAUACACGCGUCUCUGUUUUUUUAUUUAUUUUUGGAUGUUUUAGUUCCGUAGUUAAUGCCGUGUUUAUUAAUUAAAAUAUUAAAACGAUUGAUAACGUUUACUUGUUAAAAUAUAACAGAAAUAAGAAUGAAAUAUGUGGAAUUUAUGAACUGUUUAGAUUAAAAAAUGGUAAUUUAAUUUCCUCAUACUCACCAUUUUUACCCAACCUAAAUUUCAUAAUUUCAUUCUUAUCCUCUCAAUUAAAAUAUUAUUAUGUUGUUAUAUUAUUGUAUUAACGUUAUUGUUCUGAUUAUAAUUCUAGUCAUUGCUGUUAAGAAUAACGACGAUAAUAAUAAUAAUAUUUUUAAAAUAAUAAUAUUCACAAUUAAUACUUGUCGGCAAUUAUUGAAAUACAAGACAAACUAAUAGCAAUGAUAGAGUAGUGAUUUUAUUCCAGGACAUCACUUCAUUUGAAAAAAAGUUGAAAUAUUGGCACUCCUCUGGAAAAAUUCUUAUAAAACCUACCCGUUUUAAGGAACAAAGUAAAUUUAAUUAUAUACUAUAUUUCUCCAUCUAACUUUUUACAACCAUACAACUACAUCAAAGGCGAUUUAUAUUUUUUGUUUUCUCACACACACUUUUGUAUUCUAAACUUUUUUUUAAUUAUAAAAAAUUACAUAAUAGCCAUUUGAGUCCACUUUUAACUCUAUUCAAUUUAUACACACACGUAUGAUUUAAUAAUUCAAAAAUUUGUAAAAAAAUAUUUGUAGUUGGAGUUGUUUAAGAAACUGAUUUUUUUUUUUUUUGAAUCAGAAAGAAACUAAAAAAAAUGGAAAAAGAUAUUUUGGAAAUUAAAAUAGGUUUUGACAGAAAAGGAGCUUCAAAAGAAAAUUAGGGUGCUAAUAGUUCCAAUCUUUCAAAAUAUGGCCAGAACUAACAAAAUGCUGAUAUCAAUGGUUAAUACUUGUCCAUCUCUCUCGUUUGCUCUGUUUCUUACUUUGAUGCACACAUGACUUGAAAGCUUCAUCAUCCUCUAGCCUCCUUCUGUGAAAUCGUACUAACAAAUAACAGUAGCCUAUUAACGAUUUUUUUAUGCUCUUAAAGAAAAUUGAAGUAAUGUUUGAAUCUGCUUUCCUCUUUGACAUAAUUGUUAACAAAUAAUGUUACGAUGAUGAGAGCACAACACCGUUUAUUGAGGUGAGAUAUUUUUAACUCCACACUCAAAGACCAAAAUCUUGUACCUUCGCAUUAUUUAAAAAAUAAUUAACAACCUGAUUGUGAUUAUGGUUGACAAUAUAUCAUGUUGAUAAACAUAAACCUAAUAAACAAAACGACUAUGGCAAAGGCCGGAAUUACAAGGGUUAAUUUCAUUGUAUGUUUAGUUAAUGCAAUGCAAGCAGGCUGGAUAGAUAAGGCGCAAAUGGUGCAUAAGUUGGUAAAUAGACAACGAACUAAUCAGUGUCUCCAGUUCAACUGUGCGAAUUACAUGGAACCAUGUAUGGGUCCCACGACUGGAUAUAUAAUAUAUACUAUGAUAUACAGAGAUUUUCCCCUCAAAUAUAAGUUAAUUUAAAUGGGCUUACUACACUUGUCAUUUUUUUGUAUGAGACUAUUGUUCAUUAUAUUUAUAAUUAUAUAAUUAUUUAGAUUAGUUUACAUUAUAUUUUAUAUAGCACCGCUCAAAUUUUAAUCAUCUCAAAUAUUCGAGGGACGUCAAACUCCCAAAAAAACUCUAUCUAUGGGAGAAAAACCGUCAUUGAAUGGGUGCUAGUGGUAAUGAGUGAAUUGAAGAUCUUAAUUCUAAGAUCUUGGUGUCAAAUGAGCCUAUGAAAUAGGUCAUGGGUGCUACUUUGAUUUGUAGUUCUUUGUUUUUUUCUCUUUCUCUUUUUUUCUUUUUCAAUUGAAAGCACUUCGAGUUGUGAUAGGCUUAUUUAUUUGGUAAUUAAAUUUAAGAAUUCGUGUUAAAUUGAUAUAUUUUAUAUAUUUGUUUUAAUGUUGAUAUUUUCAUUUCUCAUUUACAUUGAUAAAAUGUAGAACUAAAUAUUUUAUGUGGUUUUUUAGGCAACAAUUAUAAAUUUAUAAUUUGAAUUACAUAAUUUAAAUUUUUUGAUUUUGUUGCGAGUGUGAUUUUAUACGUGGGAACUCACAAAAUAUCCACUAGGCACCAAUCAAACCCACAGUAAAUGGGCUUUGUUAAAAAAAUAAAAUUAUAUAUAACCCACAGCGAAUUUAGUAAUUAAAUUUUUUUGUAGAUGCGGGUUUGGUGAUGUCAAACCCGUACCAGACCCUACCCGCUACCAUCCCUAACUACACCGUAAACACCAAAAGACAUACAAAACAAUAAUGCAUAAAGUACGGGAAGUAAUGGGAAAUACGGGAAUAUUGCACACAUAAUCAGUGAGCCAAAUGUCAAGUACCUAUUUAUUUCAAAGCAACUUGUGACUAAUUACAUGCAUGGCUGCUUGUCGUUUGGAGACAUAUUAAUCCCCACCCCUUGCAACCACUUUGUCCACAAUGUCAAAGUCUUUGAGAAUCGCUAAUGGUUUUCCCAAGAAGCGUCUUCGACUAAUGCCCCCAUGCUUUUAACCAGUAUCGUGAAGAGAUGUGAGCUGUAGCAAAUGGGUUGGUCUCCCCUCUGGGGAAGUACAUUGGAGAGUGGAGAUGCAAUGAUUGAAGUUCAGUAAGGAUUGUUUGAAGGGUGGCGUCAACUUGGUCAAAGCUAGACUCGUGUCUAGCAAGGAUUUUGUGAAUCUCUUCGCGAAAUUCAGCAUUUGAUUUGUUGCGUGUUGCCAUGGAUCAUUUGACGGCUCGAAUACCACUUGAUAUCUAAUUCUAAGGAUUUGAUGCUACAACAGUAGGGGAAAGAAAAGGAUCACACAAUGAUAUUUUUUAUUAAUUUCUUUUUUCAAGAAGACACGGUACACAAAAGUAAAUAAAGAAAAUCUCUUGUAUAUCUCAAGAGAUUUUAUAAGUUGAACUAAAAAAAACAGAGACACUCACAUAAUUGACAGGCAUUAAUAACCCAUCAUUUUAUUUAAUUGAACAUAAUACGAAAGAGUAAGUUAGCACUUAACCAGUGUGAUCGAGAUUUCUUUCGUAUUGAGGGACGACAAUAAGAUCCAAAUUGUCAUUCAUGCUCUCAUCAUUAAUAAUGUUGUACAUAGCUAUUGGGUUACCCUCAGGCCAUUCGUUCUUACUUGAAAAAAUCAUAACAACAAUUGUAUUCAUAAAUACAUAUAUUAAAACAAAAAUUAUAAGUGACAUUGAGCUGAACAUGGCCUAAGAACCUGGAUAAGGAGUUUCCAUAUUCUUCAAAUUAGAAAAGAUAUCUUCUAACUUCUGGUGAACCGUAUUCAAAACUUCAGUUGCUUUUGCUUCUGGUUUUAUAAUAGAGUAAUGAUACAGCCACAAACUCUUGUACAAACUUAUUUUGUACAAACUGAUGUGGCAUGAUAAGAUUGGUUGAAUGAAAUAUCACUUGGCCCACAUGAUUUGUUUUUAUUAAUUUAUAUUUUCAUUCAACCAAUGAAUUAAUGCCACAUCAAUUUGUACAAAAUAAAUUUGUACAAGAGUUUAUAGCUGUAUCAUUACUCUUUAUAAUAUGCUCCAGAUAUAUUUAUAUACACAUUCACACAAGUAGAGGACGUGGGUGAUUGAGGACGUGCAUGCAUUGUUUGUCAGCAUGAUAGUGUUUGUCGGCAAUAAUUUAGUUACAAGACAAACUAAUUGCAAUUAUAAGGCUAAUAAUUGCAAUACUAAUAAUAAUAAUUUUUAAAAUAAAAAUAAUCACAGUUAAUACUUGUCGGCAAUAAUUGAAUUACAAAACAAACUAAUAGCAAUGAUAGAGUCAUAAUUUUCUUCCAGAACAUCAAUUCUUUUGAAAAAGAGUUGAAUCAGUGGCACUCCUAUGAAAUUCUUAACCCCUCUUAUAUUGCAAUUGCUUUAAAGAAAAAAAUAAAUCUAAUUAUACACUCUAUUUCUCUAUCUAACUCUUUUCAUUCAUGCAACUACAUCAAAGUGUUUUAUAUAUUUUUUUUCUCACAAAUACUUUUGCAUUCUAAACUUUUCUUUUCUUUUUUUUUAUGGCUUACAAGGAGGCUCGGAUUCUAAACUUUUCUUUAAUUUUUUAAAAAAUAACAUAAUAACUAUUUGAGUCCACUUUUAAUUCUAUUUAGUUCAUAUAUAUGAUUCUCUUUAGUUAAAUAUAUAUGAUUUAAUAAUUCAAAAUUUUAUAAAAAAAAUUGUAAUUGGAGUUGUUUGGAAGAAACAGAUUUUUUUUUUUUAAAAAAAUCUUGAAUCAGAAAGAAACUAAAAAAAUGGAAUAAGAUAUUUUGGAAAGUAAAAUAGGUUUUGACAGAGGAGAGCUUGAAAAUAAAAUUACAGCGGUGCUAACAGUCCCAAUCUUUGAAAAAUAUAUAUGGCCAGAACUGACAAAAUGCUGAUCUAUUUAAUUUUUUAUAACGAUGAUUAGUACUUGUCCAUUUCUCCUUAGCUCUGUCACUUACCUUGAUGCAUACAUUACUUGAAAGUUGAAAGCUCCAUCUUCCUCUAGCUUGCCUCUUUAAAUUUAAAAACGCUACACUUACUCCUAGCACUAAAAAAUUACGUUAUUUUACAAUGAAAAAGCCCAUGUUUUUCUUAAUUGAUUUAAUUAUUUUACAAACUGAAGCUAUUCAUCAAAAUAAAAUAUUUUUUUGUGAUAUGACAAUGUUAUCCUUGAUAAGUUAAGUUAAUUACCCAAUUUUUGUUUUCCAAUUUAGAAUAAAAAUCCUCGUGCGCCGACACGGUGGCUGCUUUUGCCCUGGCCUUUUUGCCGGAUUUGACUCUUUUCUCUUUCGAAGAAUCAACGUUGUUGUUGCUGUUAUAUUAUUAUUCAGCUGCUGUUGCUUCUCUUCAACAAAUCGCUGUUGCUCUUUUUGCAUCGACUCGGCAACUGCAACGGCCACGUCGACGAUAUUGGAUUAUUAUUACUCUCCAAAAGCAGAAACUUACAUUCAUAUCCAUAAAAAAUAUAAAUGAUCUAAGUAUAAAUGGUGAUUUUGUGUUAUAUGGAUAACUUAUUCUUUUUAAAGUUUUUCAAAGUUUUUGCGUAUGAGCUAGACUGAUAAAAAUCCAUAACUUGUCCAAUCUAAUGCUCACAACAUUGUCCCGAUACACUUAGUCAACUAUCAUAUACAAAAGGCUUGUAAAUUCUUUUGUAUCCUUCAUUAUUCUAUCUUUAGAAAUUUUUAUUGAUUAACAGUGGGUUUUACGCCAUCAUGGAUGAAAUAAGAAAGGACACAAAUAAAAGUUAAAAGUUAAUAAAUUUUUUUAAACAUCAAGAGAGAGUUUUGAUGUGUUUAGAAACAUAAAAAGAGAAAUGAAAAAAAUUACCUAAUGGAGUGAGUUUUGAUUAUUUUUCCCAUUAGCGUAUUUCAAGUAUUGGAUAAAAUAAACCUAAAUUUCAAAUUAUAGCAACAAGUGUUUACUAAACACUAAAGUACUGUAGUUUUUCAAGCUACUGCUAUCCAAUCACAGCAUCAAACUGCCCUUAGUUAAGCUCUAAAAAAACUGAGAUAGAAGAAAAGCCAGCAGUCAUAUUAUGAAUAUGCAACACUUUAAUGAUUUUUCUUAUUUCCAUGUGUUCGAAUGUUGCUUCUCCAUUGAUGUACUGGAAGAAGAUGAUGACAAGACCACUUCCUUGAUUCUUCUUUCGAGGUGUUUAAAGGGAAGAAGCGGAGCCAAAUAUCAGACGUGUUAUCUCAGUGUGACAUGCUCUCCUUCGCUUCAUUUGCUCCACUUGCCUUGCUACUUUCUUUGCCUUUGCCCCACCCCCCCCCCCUCCCCCCCCCCCCCCCCUCCCUUCUCUUUAUAGUGUAAUCUUAAGCUUGAAUUGCUGGGCUUAUUCAAGACAAGGCCUUAGCAUCUGGCUAACAACCUAAAGCCUUAGUAGCAGAUUGCUCUAUCUAUAUUUAUAUUUUUAUUGCAUAGUGCAUUUGAGGUUAUAUGUUAAUAAGGGAAACCAAAAAAAAAAAAUUCUGCCAAUAAGUACCUUUAAUUCAGUCGAUAUACACGUAGAUAAUUCAUACGAUUGGAACUAACCAACCUCCGUACUCUCAAGUGGUUGAUAAGAUAAACAAUGAAAUUUUAUUUAUUUAUUUAUGAUGAAAUAGGAAUGCAUACCCUGCCCAUAUUCAUAUUUUUGAGAAAAUUGAAGGAUUAAUAUAACAAUAAUAAUAGAGCCACAAACAAUUUUGUACAAACUAAUAUGUACAAACUGAUGUGGUAUGAAAAAAUUAAUUAAAAAAUAAUAAUAAUAAUUUUUUUUUUUAAUUAUGUGAGUUCAUGAUAGUUUAAUACAACCAAUCUCUUUAUGUCAUAUUAGUUUAUACACACUUUAUAUAAUUAUGUAAACUAUUAAAGCUUUUACAAGCAAAGAUUUUGAGUUCAAUAAUACUUUAGUUUUAAAACUCUGUGUGAGUAUUUGAGUUAGUUAAUUCUCAGUAUUCUGCGGAAUCAAUGAGUCUUACCCCCUAAAUUCACUCCAUUCUUUUGAAUCAAUGUGAACUUAGUUUGUUUAUUUAUUCUAGUAUUUUAAAAAAAAUCAACAGAAUAUUGGAACUAUAAACUUCUGCUGCAUCAAAACACUUGACUAAAUAAUGACAUUAAGAAAAUCCUUGUGCUUUGAAAUUGGUAUUUUAUUAGUCAACUAACGGGUCAACUAACGGUUGUAAUGAAAAAGUAGUAAAAUGAUAUUUAUUGUAAUGGAAAAGUUGUAAAAUGAUAUUUUUAUAAAGAUAUAGUAGGAAAAUGAUAGGAGACAAUACUUAUUGUAGUCAUUUGAUAUUUGACAAUUUUUAAAGUAAUGAAAUGAUAAUAACCUUAAUUUUUAUUGCUUCCCAAAUUAAACUUCUUCAUGCCCUUUUCAUCCAUAAUCUCCAAUUAAUUUCCUAUUCAACAAAAUAAUUUAAUUAAUUAAAAAUAAAAAAUAAAAAUAACUAGUAAUUAUAUAAUUAAUGUAAAAUAUGUAUAUCUUAUAUGCUCAUCAUGUUGUGACUUUCAAUUCGUGAUGGCUGUGCCUAUAGGGAAACAAACCGAUAUUGACAUUUUGUGAGAUAAGAUACAAGCAUUUGAUGGCAUUCAGCAAACUUUCACUGCCUCUUCAGCAACAUCGAUAAUCAAAACAAAGUGAAAUCAAAUCCUAGGAAUUAAAAAUCUGAAAAAAAAAUUAUCCUUCUUUCCAUAAAAUGACUGAACUUCAUUCUUAAUUGAAAAUCAUGUCAAGUUAAAUAAAUUAAUCUCCACAAUUAGUAAAUAUUAAUAUCUCAAGUUAACUUAAUGAAUUAGUAACUUAAUACAUCUACAUUUUCAUCGAAAUUAAUAAGUCUUACAAAUUCAUCUUACAUGAAUUGUAAAUACUAAGCGUGACUUCUCCAUAAUACCUCCCAAUAAUCCGAUGCUAGUGAUCCUUUUACAAAUCAUUACAUAUUUGCUUCGCUACUUAAUUAAUAAAGUUAAAACAAAAACAAAUAGACCCCGCACCAAUAAUUUUGUGAACAACCCAACCCCAUCAUCUCCUUUUAAAAAGAAAAUAAUAAAUUAAGAGAAUUACCACUUUUCUAUUUAUUUUACUGCUACUUGAUUCCAUGAAAUGUUUCAAAAUAAAACGAAAUCAUUUUGUAUUGCUUUUGAAAAUAAGUUUAUUUGAAAAUGUCUCAAAAUUAGUUCCAUUUCCUGAACAAUUAUAUUGAAAAAGAAAAAAGAAAAAACAUGUGUAGUCUCCAUUAGAUAAUUUUUUAAAUUAAUUUAAUCUAACAAUAAUUUGAUUCUCUUACUACUUAUGUGAGUGAAAUUCAAACUUCAGACCUCUCAUUUUCGACACGAUAAAUUUUACUAUUUUAUAUAAAUGAUAUCCACGAGUUAGGAUGUCAAGAUUUAUUAUUCCGCUUUUGUUUAAAUCUCACAAUGUGUAUAUACACACACACAUAAAAUUGGGGAUGCUCCCUCCUCUUUUAAUCCCCGGCCCAUUCGGGGAUUUUCGGGCAUCCCUGAACUAUCCCCAAAUGUGAAUUUUUAGGUAUGGGGCGGGUUUGAGAAUUGCUUCUAAUUUGGAGAUGGGGCCAGGACCAUAAAAGACAAUACCAUGUUAAUUUUUAUCGAUAAAUAAUAAUUAAAUCUCAAUUAGUAUUUAAUUAAAUGAAAAAUGAUUUUGAUAAAUAAAUAAUUUACAUAUUAAUUAAUUCAUGAUAUAAUAUCGCUAAUUUUUUAUUAUGAAUAAAAUAUUUAAAAAUUUUCUACAGCUAAUUUCAAUUAUUUAAUGUUACAUAUAUUAAUUUAUUAAUACUUACUGACGUAAAAUAAUAGAACUUAAUUUAUUUCGUGAUACAACAAUGCACUGCAAUAAACAUACAUAAUUGAUGCUUAACUUUAAUUUCACAUAAUUAGUAAUCAACUAUACAUAAACUAGACACGCUUGCUAUCUUUGGAUAUACUAAACAUAUCUAAUCAAGCAUUCUAAUUACUCACAAUCAUGAUCAUAGACUAUAAAAUUAAUUAAUCAACCUUGUGCGAUUCCUAAAUAUUUUAUAAUCUAUGAAUUUCAAUAUACUCAUACAACAAGAUCAUCAUGUCAUUAAAUAAUAAGCAUCACAAUAAUUAUGAGAACUUGAAAUUGAAUUUAAUUUGACAUCUAUGAAAACUUUCUAAUUUGGCCACUUUAGUAACUAACAAAUUAUCAUAAUAUGAAUGUCAAAUUGAACAUUUAUAACAAAGUAAUUUCUUUAAUAAAAUAAAUAAAACCACAACAUCAACUCAAAUAUCAAACAUUAAAAUUGGAACAUUAAGAAAUUUCAGAGAUCAUUAAUUAAUGAGCGGAAGCAUUCAAAAUUAUGAGAACAAAACUCAUAAGACUUGAUGCACAUAAAGUCAGUGGCUUUAUCAUACUAAAUUCAAUCAAUCAUAUCUUUAAGUUAAUAAAAUAGAAUAUCAGGGGCUACACUGAAAUUUCACAUGCAAUUACUCCUAAAUUUCGACUCGAAAGACAGUAUGUGAUGGCAUGGCAAUGGGGAGGGGAGGGGAGGGGAGGGGACCAAUCUCUCUGUACCCAUUCCCGAUAUUUUGUGUAUGUCCUCGUCUCCUCGUCUUCGUCAGAACUACUUGAGAGAAUCCUCAUCUCCUCCUCGAAUAAUAACAAGGAAUCCCCGAGGAUCCCGAUCCCCGAAUAACUAAUACAAUUUUUUUAUUUUUUAUUUUGAGUUAAUCAUAUUAAAAUAAAAAAUUCAAAUAAAAGUAAAGUUCGAAAUACAUCUUACAUUAAUAUCCAUUACAAAAGUCACAUAUAUUAAAUUAGUAAGUAACGCAGCAUGCAAGGGAUACAAACUUCUUUUACAAACUAUCAUGAACACAUUAAUAGUCUAAUACAAAAUUGUUAUAAAUAAAAUCGAAUUUAGAUUCAAAAUUAACUUUUUCAAUGGUGGUGUGUGUUGUGCAAAUUUUAAUGUACUCGCAAGCGCACGAAUCUAUUGUAGUAUAGACUAAUGGUGACGAGUGUCAAUCCCACGAGGAGGUGGAUUUUAAUUAUAUGUAGAAUUAAUUUUGUAAAUGGGUGGUUGGAAUUGUAGUGGAAGUUAUUUAAAUUAUCCUAAAAUUGGAAUUGAAAUGGCGAUAAUAAAUUCCAAAAUUGGAAUUGCAAUGGCGAGAAUAAAUUGAAGCGAAAUCUAUUGAAAUGACAUACUUGGGUAUCUGGAUCGGUAUCAACAUGCACCAUGGGCUAAAUAUUCCUUAUUAAUACCAAUUAAAUAAUGAGGGGGGAAUCCACACCUCAUGAACCACACUCUAAUCAAUAUGGUGCUAAGGGCUUAUCGUGCCAAAUAAAAAUAACCUUAUACUAGAGAGCUUGUGUAACCAAGGCGGUAUCUAGACAAGAUCAGUAUUAUUUGUCGACGAAAAGUCAAAUCAUCCACAAAAACUAGAGGGGAAGAGAAAGUAAAUUUAUCAAAUAAAGCCCAUGACACAUGUUGAAACUUCACCUUCAACCCAAGCUUAAAAGAAAAUUAGCCACUCAUAAUUGAAUUAGGGGCAAAAUGGGAAUUUAUUAAAAUACAUAGAAAAUACAAGAUGGAGAGGGAAUUACAGAAAAUAGAGUCCAAAAAUGGAUUCAGAGAUAUCAAAUUGGGGGGAGAGACCCUCUUUUUAUAGUUACAUGGAGUAAAUCAUGGCCAUCGGAUUAAAAACAGUUUGGACGCUCAGGAUUGCGCCACGUCAUCAGUCAACAGUACGCGGUUUGACCACGCGGAUGAACAGUAACACGGUUUGACCUGGAUGAACAGUAACGCAGUUUGGUUGAAAAUAAUCCUGUGUGAUGCAUGUACCGUACGCGAGAUUUUUCGUCCACUGAUAUGCUGCCACAUCACCAUCAACAGUACAUAAGAAUUUUAGCCCAACAGGAUAGUGACACCUCAUCAGUCAAUGCCACAUCAUCGGUCAAUGCCACGUCAUCGAUCCGUCUAUGUGAACAGUGUCGUGAACAGUAACGUAGACAGUACCGUACACGUGAAUAGUACCGUACAUGUGAAUAGUGCCAAUUUCCUUUUAUGCUCCUCCUAAGGUUUUCGACCGUCCUGAGUUCAAAAGUGAUGUCCGUUUUGCCGUCUGAUCUCUUCUUUAUUAUGAAAUGACUAUAAUGCCCCUAAAAUACAUAAAAUAUUUAAUUAAAAUAAAACACAUGUAAUUAAAUCACAAGAAGGUUAAAUACAUAAAAGUAAGGGUUGUUAGUAAGACUUGAAAUGUAAAAUGACGGUUUUCUCCUUUAUAAAUAUGUAUUUUCUAACACUCAACACACCCCCCAACCAGCUUAUUGCUAGUCCCUAGCAAAUAAAGCGAAAACAAAAUUCAAAUCCAAAAUGAUUUUAUUUUAUUUUAUUAGAAACACUCAUGUUUAUUUAAUCAGAUUAAUGAUAGCAAUCAAAUAAAAGUAUAAGCAUUAUCUCCAGUCUAAAACAACAUCACACCCACAUCAACCAUCCACAUGAAUCAGCCCAGUAGACUUUGUUAUAGCUACUUUCAAGAAUGACAUGUCAAACCCCAAAAUCUCACUGGAAGUAGUAACACUCUCACAAAGAAAUUAAACCCAAUAAAAAUAGUCACAACUUGAGAGAGAAAAUAAUAAAGAAGUGAUAUCACAUGCUCUCACCAAGAUGAAAGAAAUAUGCCCUCAGCUUAGAAAUAAUACGAUCUCAAGUCAAAUAAACAUGUUAGUCAACCUAAUUUAUUUAUCUCUUUUUUUUAUUAUUAUUAUUAUGCACCACUACAUCAUUUUAGCCCACAUAACUAGUUUCUACUUAAGACUAUAGUUCCCUAAAAUCAGGAAGGACUUUUAUUAGGACGUAACGUAGGCUAGGGACAUGGCUAACAAAGAAGGGAAAUAAGGAAAACAAAGUGUAUGUUUGAGAAAAAUGCAGAGAAUUUUUUUUUUUUUUUAAAGUUGCAAGGUGGAUUUCACCUAUUAUUGUUAUUUUUAUUCUUUUGAAACAACAACUUUUGUUUUCUUUUUUUUUCUUUUUUUUUUUUUUUUUGCAUAACUUCACUGAACAAAAUAAUUAUUUAUAUUUUCUCAAACAUAAAUAGGUGAUGGAACUUAUAAGACAUCGGGUAAUACUCCAAAUCGGAGUAGUUCAAGAUGAUAAGUUGACAAAGAAAAGUUUUUUUUUUUUUUUAAAGGCUCAAAAGGGUUAACUAUGGAUAUAUCACAAAAGGGAUAGCUAGAAAGGCUCAAACGGGACAAAGAUGGCAUUUCCAUCGUCUUUUAGGGCUCUAAAUAAUCGUCCAUAUCUACUAGUUAGAUGGGCUUCCAAAUGUAGCAACACACAUUUUUUUCUUUUUUUUUCUUUUUACAAUUUUUUUUAAGGGUUAACUUAAAAGAAAUCUAGAGAUCGUGUAUAAAAUAAUAAACUGCUAAGCUGUAUGAAGAAUGGGCAAAAGAGUUAUUCUCCAAGAAAAAUAAUAGGCUCAAAAACUCACUUGGUACUUAUUACGACAUGUUCAUUCCUUCAAGCAACUCAUAUUUGUCUUCGAUAUCAACAUGUAAAGUAGCAAACAUGACGUAACAUCACUUAAGACCAAAGAUAAUACAAAUACUAAAAUUUGAAAUUCAUCAUGUCAUCCAAUGUUAAAACAAAUCACACAUUUUUUUUCAAACAACAUUCUACCCCCCAACCUAUUCUAAACAUGAAAGGAAAAUAUGAAUGCAGAAAUGUGAAAAUGAUGUAGAAAAACUAAUUAGAAACGUUACACUUAAAAUGAUAGAAAAAGAAAAUGGUUUUUUUUUUUUAAGAAGAUGCGUUUCUAGAGGCACUACACUCCAUAUUCAGCCAUCUUCGACUCAAAAGUUGGGAAAUGUAUAUUUAUAGAGGAGAAAUUAAAAAGAAGAAGAAAAAUGAACAUCAAAACUUAAUUAAGAAAAAAAAAUGUCUGAAUUUUUUUAUUUAUUUAUUUUUUUUAAACGAAGAAGAUGCGUUUCUAGAGUCACUACACUCCAUAUUCAGCCAUCUUCAACACAAAAAGUUAGCAACAGUUAAUUUCUACAACAAAAAAUCAGUAAAAACUUAACCAAGAUUCCACAAUUGUCGACUAUUCCCUCCCCCCAACCAGAACGAAACAUUGUCCUCAAUGUUUUAAAGGAAAGAAAUAGAGUUUAGAAGACAUCACCUGGGUGGUGCAACACAAAAGAAAAUAUUUAUAGGCAGAGAGUUAAAUCUAAUUUGUACUUCUUACUGCUGCUACCGUUACCAUCAUUAUUUGGACGCUCCAACACAAAGGUCCAGGGGUUUGGCUCCGGUCUAUAAGCUUGUAACAGAUCAAGUAGCUCAUUAGUAGUGUGAGCACAAAUAAAGAGUUUUUUCGCAUCGGAAGGAAUGAAGUAGUUUUUUAUUGCAUGGUUAAGAAAUGCGAUAAAGACAUCAUAAAAGUUAUUGACAUUUAACAAACCGAUGGGUUUCUGGUGGAUGUGCAGAUGGGCCCAAGAUGCUAAUGUGAUAAGUGCCUCUAGUGUUGCAAGAUCUCCUGGAAGGAAAAUAAAAGCAUCAGCAUGAUUAAGCAUUUCAGUUAUUCUUUCUUGCAUACCUGAGACGACUAACUCUUCUCCAAUUGAUGAGUCAGACGAACUGGCAAAUGGUUUUAAGACUCUUGGGAUGAUGCCUAACACUUGACUUCCUCUGAUAAAAGCUGCUUCUGAGACCAUUUUUGAUAACCCUCGGUUACUUCCUCCAUACACCAAGUGUAAUUUUCUCACUGCUAUGCUUCGACCAAGAUCUAUGGCUGCCUCCACAAACUCUUUAUGUUUGCCAUAGUUAAAUCCAGAAAGCACACAAAUGUUCUUGAAUUGUCUAUUAGGAGUAGCUGCCAUUGUGAUACUUCUCAAAAACAAUUUAUGAGUGCUUGACAAAAAAAAGAAAUCACAUUUAAGAGUCUUGGUGACAGUGGGUCACAGUUGUGUAUGAGGUAACAUGUCAGUGUCAAAUAACGCGUAAAGCACGUGGCUCGCGAGUCAAAAAGGAAACAGUAAAAAGGAAAAAGCAAAUAGUAAUAAGGAAAAAAGAAAACAGUAAUAAAAUUAUUAAAGACAAUAAUGCACACAAUAAAACAACAGUGAAAUGAAAUAAAAUAACAGUAAAGUAAAAGGAUAUUUACACGUAGUUGCGACUGUGGCUCACAUCUUCCUCUGGUUUUACGUCCAGAAACGGCUUGAACGCCCUCUAUGGGUCGAGGAUAGGCUUCCCAUCCAGUUUUCUUAUAAACUGGCAAACAUGGUUGUUUUUAGUCAGAUUCCCGAGACUAUAUCGUGCAUGCUCUUUCUAGAAUAAUGGUCAUAACUGGAGAAUCGCUCUUUGCACAUAUCCACUGAGAUGCGUUUCAAGAGACAGAAGGAUAUCAUCCAAUGACUCCUUAUUCAAGCCAUCCCUAAUGAAUUGAAUCUUAUUUUCCCUGUUAUCAGACACCAUUCCUAAAGAACAUGGGUUUUUAUUGCAACUCAUUCUGGCACACUUAUGACAACCAACAGAAAUUCUCCAAGCUCGUCGUUUUCUUGCAUAAUUUCCUUUACCACAACCAGGCAUGUAUGCAAUAAAUUUUGGAGGUAACUCACCUGCCGAUCAUAUUUUAGCCUCGAUUAACCAACGGAUGUCAGCAGGUAUGUUAUUCCUCAUGAGUAAUCGCAUGUGUUCGGACCGAGCUUUAUAGAUCGUAAGGAGGGCAUUCUGAGGAAGUAAAGGGAAUCGCUUGUGAAGUUUCGCUAGAAUCUCGUUUCUGUCCAUACCUUCGCCUCAGAAUAUCAGUUAUUAUGGGAAACUAAAGUAACCGACUUGAUUGUCACGGAGUACCGUUAUCCGCCACUUCACCGGGGUAACAAACUAAAGCACACAAACAGAAAAACAAAUUAAAACAGACAAAGAAAAGUAAAAUCAUCCUCUUAUUGAAUUUACCUCAAGCUCUAACUGGAUGUCAUAAACACUUCUCUCAAUGUCUCUGAGUUGGCGUUCUAAACCCUCAACAUAGGCUACUAACUCUGGUGGUUGUAGAGCCCAAAUGCGAUGUGUUUUACAAAAUUGAAUCUGUCUUUUGAGAUGAGUUUUGACACGUUGAAGUGGUUUAAGAAUGUUCAGGAGGAACGGUCUUAGUAAGGUACUCAUAAUUAAAAAUGAUAAAAGAAAACUUAAUAGUUAAACAAACACACUUAUGCAAAAAUAAUUUCAAUUAGCAGAAGAAUAAUAUAAAGGAAGAAAAAAAUCAAAUCAACGAAAAGAAAAAAAAAUCAAUUCAAAUCUGGUGGGUCACUCAAAUUUAUUUCGGUGUCUUCUCCAUGUGGUUGGUACUCUAGAUAUGGCUUUAAUCUUUGACCAUUAACUUUAAAUGUGACACCAUUCUUUGGGUCCUUAAUUUCAAUUGCCCCAUGUGGAAAAACAGUAUGAACAAUAAAGGGACCAGACCAUCGAGAGCGUAACUUACCUGGGAAUAGGUGCAAGCGAGAAUUGAAUAAAAGCACUUUCUGACCUGGAGUGAACGAUUUUCUCAUAAUUUGCUUAUCAUGGAAGACUUUCAUUCGUUGCUUGUAAAUCUUGGCAUUUUCGUAUGCGUCAUUGCGAAUUUCUUCAAGUUCUGCCAGUUGUAAUCUUCUUUCUGAGCUGGCUUGCUGCAUGUCAAAGUUGAAUUUCUUGAUGGCCCAAUACGCACGAUGCUCGAGUUCCACAGGUAGGUGGCAAGCUUUUCCAUACACUAGCCUGUAGGGUGACAUCCCAAUCGGGGUCUUGAAAGCCGUUCUAUAUGCCCAUAAUGCAUCAUCAAGUCUUAAUGACCAAUCUUUUCUGUCCAGCCUCACCGUCUUUUCUAAUAUGUGCUUUAUUUCUCGAUUGGAGAUCUCAACUUGGCCACUGGUUUGCGGAUGAUACGGGGUCGCCACUUUGUGUGUGAUUGAAUAUUUUGUCAAAAGAGCUUUGAAUGCUUUGUUACAAAAGUGGGCACCACCAUCACUGAUUAUUGCUCGAGGGAAUCCAAAUCGUGAGACAAUAUUGCUUUUCAAAAAUCCUAUCACCACCUUGUGAUCAUUGGUUCUGCAUGGAAUUGCUUCUACCCAUUUCGAUACAUAGUCAACAGCAACCAAUAUGUAUUGAUGGCCAAAAGAAGGGGGAAAGGGUCCCAUGAAGUCGAUACCCCAUACAUCAAAAAUCUCAACCACUAAAAUUGGAUUUAGUGGCAUCAUGUUCCUUCGUGUAAUGCUCCCCAUUCGUUGACACCUAUCACAUGAAGAACAAAAAGUGUAAGCAUCUGGAAAUAUAGUUGGCCAAUAAAAACCACAUUGUAAAACUUUAGUUGCUGUUUUCUUAGCACUGAAAUGGCCUCCACAAGCUUGUUCAUGGCAGAAUGAAAGAAUAUUCUGAAUUUCAUUUUCUGGGACACAUCGUCUAACAAUUUGAUCACCACAAUACUUGAACAAAUACGGGUCAUCCCAAAAGAAAUUCUUUAUCUCUGCAAAGAAUUUAGCCUUGUCUUGCUUGGUCCAAUGCUCUGGAAGUUUACCUGUAACAAGAUAAUUAACUAUAUCAGCAUACGAAGGUAAUACUUCCACACUCAUUAAUUGUUCAUCUGGAAAUGACUCAUUCAAUAUUAAUGGCUCUGUAAUUGUGUCAAAAUGGAGACGAGAGAGGUGGUCCGCCACAACAUUUUCUGUCCCUUUCUUAUCUUUGAAUUCCAAGUCAAAUUCCUGCAAAAGUAACACCCAACGAAUUAGUCUAGCUUUUGCAUCUUUCUUUGUGAGAAGAUAUUUAAGAGCAGCAUGAUCUGUGAAUACAAUUAUUUUACAACCAAUGAGAUAAGAUCGAAAUUUCUCUAAUGCAAACACUACUGUUAGCAUUUCUUUUUCAGUAGUAGAAUAGUUCAAUUGUGCAUCAUUCAUUGUCAUACUAGCAUAGUAAAUAACGUGGGGAAUUCGAUCAACUCUUUGUCCUAAUACUGCUCCUACUGCAUAAUCAGAUGCAUCACACAUGAGCUCAAAUGGUAAACUCCAAUUUGGGGGCUGAAUGAUGGGUGAUGAUGUCAACAACUGCUUUAAUUUUCCAAAUGCCACAAGACAUGAAUCAUCAAAGAUAAAAGGUACAUCCUUAGCAAGUAGAUUGCAUAAGGGUCUAGAAACUUUGCUAAAAUCUUUAAUGAAACGUCUAUAAAAACCAGCAUGCCCAAGGAAAGAUCUUACUUCUCUGACUGUUUUAGGUGGAGGAAUAUUAGAAAUAAGAUCCAACUUGGCUUUGUCAACCUCAAUACCUUUGCUCGAAAUGAUGUGACCGAGAACAAUACCUUGUUUUACCAUAAAAUGGCAUUUCUCCCAAUUUAAGACCAAGUUCUUCUCGAUACAUCUCUGCAGAACUAAUGUUAGAUGAUGUAAACAUUGAUCAAACGAGUCACCAAAGACAGAAAAGUCAUCCAUAAAGACUUCAAGGAAUCGUUCAACCAUAUCAGAAAAAAUGCUUAACAUGCAUCGUUGAAAUGUAGCAGGUGCAUUACAUAAUCCAAAUGCCAUUCUCCUAUAUGCAAAUGUGCCAAAAGGGCAAGUGAAAGUGGUCUUCUCUUGAUCUUUUGGUGCUAUGGGGAUCUGAUUGUAUCCUGAGUGGCCAUCUAGAAAGCAAUAAAAUUCAUGGCCUGCUAAUCUAUCAAGCAUUUGAUCGAUAAAUGGUAAAGGAAAAUGGUCUUUACGUGUGACAGAAUUCAACUUUCUAUAAUCAAUGCAUACACGCCAUCCUGUAGUUACUCUAGUUGGUAUCAAUUCAUUAUCAGCAUUGGUAACUACUGUGACUCCUGACUUUUUAGGGACAACUUGUACAGGACUGACCCAUGAACUAUCAGAAAUUGGGUAAAUGAUACCUGCGUCUAAUAGCUUAAGGACUUCAGUUCUAACAACUUCUUUCAUAUUAGGAUUUAACCGACGUUGCAUUUCCCUAGUAAAUUUAGCAUUUUCAUCAAGGUGAAUGUAAUGCAUGCAGUCUACUGAGUUUAUACCUUUUAUGUCCGCUAUGGUCCAUCCUAAUGCUUCUUUGUGCUCUUUUAAAACAUCCAACAACUUACCUUUUUGUUCGUCAUUUAGGGAUGAUGAAAUGAUUACCGGCAGAGUAUUUUCUUCUCCCAAAAAUGCAUAUUCCAAUGUGUUGGGCAAUAGUUUGAGCUCAAGUUUCGGUGGUGAUUCAGAUGAUGGGAUUAGUUUCUUUUCUGAUGGUGCUAGUUGUUCAACUCUUGACUUCCAUUUAUUAGUGUCCAUGGAUGGUGCUGAGUCAAGUAGGGCGUUGACCUCAUCGUCCGAUCUGUCAAUAUCAAAAUCCAAACCAAAGUGAGUUAAGCAUGUCUGUAAAGGAUCAUCACUAAGGUUUGAAAGAAAAAUGUCAUCAACCAAUGCUUCAAUUAAAUCCACAUCAACAACUUCAUCAUCUGCAUUGUGAGGUUGUUUGGCAAUGUUGAAAAUGUUUAGCUCCAUAGUCAUGUUGCCGAAGGACAACUGCAUAUUUCCAGUCCUGCAUUGAAUAUGAGCAUCCGCAGUUGCCAAGAAAGGUCGGCCUAGAAUAAUGGGGAUGUGCUUCCUUGAAUUCUGUAUUGGUUGAGUGUCAAUUACAAUGAAAUCAACAGGAAAAUAAAACUUGUCUACCUGGAUAAGCACGUCCUCCACAAUACCACGAGGUAUUUUCAUGGACCGAUCUGCAAGCAGUAACACCACUAGUGUUGGGUGUAAUUCUCCAAGUCCAAGUUUCAAAAAUACUGAGUAAGGCAACAAAUUUACACUAGCUCCUAAAUCCAACAAAACAUUCUCAAUUGUGUGGUUCCCUAUGCUACAUGAGAUAGUGGGGGAGCCUGGGUCUUUGCAUUUUAGAGGAAUUUUAUGUUGAAGUAUAGAACUAACGUUUUCUGUUAAAAAUGCAUUCUUUUGAACGUGGAUGUUUAUCUUUUUAGUACAAAGGUCUUUAAGAAACUUGGCAUAAGAUGGAACUUGCUUUAUAGCAUCAAGUAAAAGGAUGUUAACACUUACCUGUUUGAAGAUUUCGAGAAUCUCACAUGUGGAUUUUCCCUUCUUUCCUUUCACUAACCUCUGAGGAAAUGGAGCUUUCGGAACAUAUUCUCAUGGGUUGGUUUCUUCUUUUUCCUCCGGUGAUGAGUCCUCAACACUCACAGGUACAAUUUGAUUUUCUUUUGUCACCGGCAUCUCCACUUUGUUGUCGACUUCUUUUCCUUUUCGUAAGGUCAUGACUGCUUUGACCUCUCCAUGCUGCUGUGGUGAACUGGUACUUGCUUCAUGUACUCCUUUAGGAUUAGGCACUGGUUGACUUGGGAAUUUGCCUUUCUCAACAGUCAUUGCCAAUGUCUGAACUGAAGAAGCAAGUUGUCCCACCAUCUUCUCGAGGCUUGAAACUGAUUGAGCUUGUGAGUUGAAGCAUGCUCUCAACUCAUUUCGUAGUCCAUCAAUGGUGCGGUUCUAUUGCUCAAUCGUGGAGUGAGUAACAUUUUUGAGAUUCUGGAAUGAAUCCUCCCAUGGUCUGGGUUGAGAGUAAUUCUGGUUCUGGUUGUAUGAUCUAAAUGGUAGCUGAGAGGCUUGAGGAAUUUGAGGAUUUGGUUGCAUUGGUGGAGCUGGAGUUGCUGGUCCAUUUUGUUGGAAUCCUUGAGACCAUGAAAAAUUGGGAUGAUCUCUCCAUCCAGGGUUAUAUGUGUUGGAGUAUGGGUUGUAAUUUGAUGGCUUUCUCAUUACACCUAUGGCAUUGGCUUGAUCUGAGUAUGAGGCAUGGUCAUGUGGUUCUGUUGAUUUAGCAGUCGAUAACGAUGCUAUUUGUCGAGCGAGACCUUCAACCAUCUCCUUGACUUCUUUGAUUUCUGAACUUGACUCACCAAUGUGAACCUCAUUUACUCCCUUAAUUCUUCUAGUAUUCCUGAGUGAUCGACUCCGUUGUUGGGAAUUAUCCGCUUGUCGCUGGAAGAAUUCCCAAAUCUCUGAUGCGCUUUUUGACAUUAGCUCUCCUCCACUUGUUGCCAUUAGCCAUUCUUGCACAUUCGGCAAUAAUCCCUCCAAAAAGUAUUGGCAUUGGUGCCAUUUCUCGUACCCAUGAUGUGGACACUUCAAGAGUAGCCCAUUGAAUCACUCCCAAGUUUCGAAAAACUGCUCGUCCUCUCUUUGAGUAAACUCUGAGAUUUCCCUGCGAAUAGCAUUGGUUUUAUGCACUGGGAAAUAUUUAUUUAGAAAUUUUGUUACCAUUUGUUCCCAUGAUGAAAUGCUAUUAGCAGGUAAAGUAUUUAACCAUGAACGAGCUCUAUCCUUCAAAGAAAAUGGGAAUAAUCUAAGUUUAACAUCAUCGUCUGAAAAUUUUUCAUAUUUAAAAGUUUGACAAAUGGCAUGAAAAUCAUUCAGAUGAUUAUAUGGGUCCUCAUUUUCUAGGCCAUAAAAUGUGGGGAGACAAUUUAGCACACUAGGUUUUAAUUCAAAACUCCUAGGAGCUACAUUUGGGUAUCUUAUACAUGAUGUGCUCAAAUUAGCUAAGGGACUAAAAUAGUCUUUAAAUGGCCUCUCCUGUGGUGCUUGUAAAUCCAUUCCAAAUUUAUUUUUAACGUGCCUAUGUGUGCGAAGUGUUUUUUCUAAUUCAAGGUCUAUACGUUCAAGAUUAGGAAAUAAUGACCUACGACCAUACAUGCAAAACAAAUAAAAUAAAAAUAAAGAUGGGAACAAAACAAAUAAAAAUAAAGAAGAGAAAUUACGAUACUAACCUUAUUGCGGUAUUACAACCUUACUAUAAAAAUACACAAAAAUAAAUACGUGAAAUAAAUUAACUAAAAAUAACUUAAUAAAAAAAUUACAAAGAAAAAUAACUUAAAAAUUAAAUUGCAGAAUUGUAAAGAAUAGAGAAAGAAAAAAAAAUACUAACCUUUAAAUGCAGAUUCACUUUUUUUUUUGUUCUUUUUUUUUUAAAAAAAAAAUUACAAGAAAACAAUUAAAUGGAAUUAUUCACAAAAAUUAAUUCUAUGAAUUAAAAUUACUUACCUCCCCGGCAACGGCGCCAAAAACUUGUUGUGCAAAUUUUAAUGUACUCGCAAGCGCACGAAUCUAUUGUAGUAUAGACUAAUGGUGACGAGUGUCGAUCCCACGAGGAGGUGGAUUUUAAUUAUAUGUAGAAUUAAUUUUGUAAAUGGGUGGUUGGAAUUAUGGUGGAAGUGAUUUAAAUUAUCCUAAAAUUGGAAUUGAAAUGGCGAUAAUAAAUUCUAAAAUUGGAAUUGCAAUGGCGAGAAUAAAUUGAAGCGAAAUCUAUUGAAAUGACGUACUUGGGUAUCUGGAUUCGUAUCAACAUGCACCAUGGGCUAAAUAUUCCUUAUUAAUACCAAUUAAAUAAUGAGGGGGGAAUCCACACCUCAUGAAUCACACUCUAAUCAAUAUGGUGCUAAGGACUUAUCGUGCCAAAUAAUAAUAACCUUAUACUAGAGAGCCGGUGUAACCAAGGCGGUAUCUAGACAAGAUCAGUAUUAUUUGUCGACGAAAAGUCAAAUCAUCCGCAAAAACUAGAGGGGAAGAGAAAGUAAAUUUACCAAAUAAAGCCCAUGACAUAUGUUGAGACUUCACCUUCAACCCAAGCUUGAAAGAAAAUUAGCCACUCACAAUUGAACUAGGGGCAAAAUGGGAAUUUAUUAAAAUACAUAGAAAAUACAAGAUGGAGAGGGAAUUACAGAAAAUAGAGUCCAAAAAUGGAUUCAGAGAUAUCAAAUUGGGGGGAGAGGCCCCCUUUUUAUAGAUACAUGGAGUAAAUCAUGGCCAUCGGAUUAAAAACAGUUUGGACGCUCAGGAUUGCGCCACGUCAUCAGUCAACAGUACGCGGUUUGACCACGUGGAUGAACAGUAACAUAGUUUGACCUGGAUGAACAGUAAUGCAGUUUGGUUGAAAAUAAUCCUGUAUGAUGCAUAUACCGUACGCGAGAUUUUUCGUCCACUGAUAUGCUGCCACAUCACCAUCAACAGUACAUAAGAAUUUUAGCCCAACAGGAUCGUGACACCUCAUCAGUCAAUGCCACAUCAUCGGUCAAUGCCACGUCAUCGACCCAUCUAUGUGAACAGUGUCGUGAACAGUAACGUAGACAGUACCGUACACGUGAAUAGUACCGUACAUGUGAAUAGUGCCAUUUUUCCUUUUAUGCUCCUCCUAAGGUUUUCGACUGUCCUGAGUUCAAAAGUGAUGUCCGUUUUGCCGUCUAAUCUCUCCUUUAUUAUGAAAUGACUAUAAUGCCCCUAAAAUAUAUAAAGUACUUAAUUAAAAUAAAACACAUGUAAUUAAAUCACAAGGUUAAAUACAUAAAAUUAAGGGUUGUUAGUAAGACUUGAAAUGUAAAAUGAUGGUUUUCUCCUUUAUAAAUAUGCAUUUUCUAACACUCAACAGUGUGUGCACUUUAUAAAUGUGGACUAUUCCAUUUACAACACAAUAGUUAAAUCAGAGCAAAUCAAGAGCAAAUAUUAGAUUAGAUUAGAUUAGUUAUUAAAAUUGUGAUUCGAUGUGGGCAAUUAUAAUAUCUAAAAAUAAAUAAAAAAUAGAUUUAAGUUUAAAAUAUUUAAAGAAUAUUAAAAAAAAAAUGGGCUAAUAGAAUCUACUCUGUCUUUUUAAUGUCCUAAGUAAAAAUUUAGGACUUUAAUUAGUUAAUUAGACCAAAAGUUUAAUAAUAUAAAUAUUUUGAUAUUUUUAUUUUUACCAAUAUUUAUAAUUUUAUACUUUAAAUUUUAUUAUUUAUUUACUAGUAAUUUUAAAAAAUUAAAAUAAAAUUAAAAAUUAAAAUGGGAAAAUAGGUAGGGGAUGGGGAUUCCACCUCAUCCCCGUCCCUCCUCGAAUAAGAAAUUGGGUAAAAAAAUUUCUUCGUCCCUUCCCCGAAUAAGAAAUUGGGUAUGAAAUUAUCCUCAUACCCUCCCUAAAUGGAGAAAAUUCCAGAGAGUACCCGUUCCCGUGGGGAUUUUUGCCAUCCCUAGAUGGCUGUUGCAAAUUCAAUUGGACUUAAAUGAAACAAAAUUCUAAACUUUGGCCAAAAACAUAAACCAAAAAACCCUUAGGGAAACUCCAAAAGAUAACCUAAUUUCUAGGCUAUUCGCAGAUCGAAUUUUACGAAUUGGAUAUCAAUCCAUAUCCGAUCCACGAUUUUACGGAUUAUAAAUUUUCAAUCCAAUCCAAUUCACAUAUAGGUGAAAUUCAAUUCAAAUCCAAUCAAAAAAUCUAUGGAUUGGAUGCAGAUUUGACCCAAUCUAUAUCCAAUCCACCAUUCUGCGGAUUGGUUUGUGGAUAAAAAAAUUUUAAUUCUGUCAAAUCCACGAACUAACUAAAUAAAAAAAUUAAUAUAAAAAUAAUUUUACUACCGAUAAAAUUUAAAAUUAAAUAAGAUUUAAAAAAAAGCUAGAAAAUACAUUUAAAGUUUCAAAAUAUAACACACUAAAAUGAAAAAAAUCUCAUUCGUUUAGAUCAGUACAUGGAAAUUAACUAUUUAGGAAGCUAUAUUUGUUUAUUUAAUUAUUUUUUGUUUUAUAUUAUUAUUGAAUAAGAUAUAAUAUAGUAGUGCCUAUUUGGUAUGGCUUAUUUAAGAGUCAUUAGUGCUUAUUUAAUCGCAUAAGCACUUUUUAAAAUUUUUUAUGGUGUUUGGUUAUUUUUUUAGUAGAGUUUUUUUAGCUUAAAUAAGCUAAGUUACCUCUACUAACAAAAGCCCAAAAUUUGAGCUUUUGGAAGUAUAGGUUAGAGAGCUUUUCUAAAAAAUAUAUAAUAUAAAAAAUAUCACACAGUUUAAUGGUUUAAAAAUACUUUUUUAUUGACAACCAAACACCCAAUGACUUUUUGUCCAAAAGCUCCAUUGGUAUAAACUCUAUUGGUAUAAGUUCUACCGUUAUAAGCUCUAUUUAAUAAACUGUACCAAACGGAGCCUUAAUGUAACUAUAUUUUAGCAUAUUUGUUUACUAGUAAGUUCUAAUGCCAUAUUUACAAGUUUUAUUUUUAAUUAAAUAAACACUUUUUAUUUUUUUGCGGAUUCGCAGAUUUUUGUAGAUUUACGAAGUAGAUCCAUAUCUAAUCUACCGAUUUCGGAUUAUUAAAUUUUCAAUCCAAUCCAAUCCACUAGGGGUGUUCGCGGAUCGGAUUUUAUGGAUUGGACAUCAAUCCAUAUCCGAUCCAUGAUUUUGCGGAUUAUAAUUUUUCAAUCCAAUCCAAUCCACGGAUUGAUAAAAUUCAAUCCAAAUCCAAUCCAUACAUCUGCGGAACAAAUGAGGAUUUGACUCAAUCCAUAUACAAUCCAUACGUCUGUGGAUCGGAUGUAGAUUUGACUCAAUCCAUAUCCAAUCUACCAUUUUGUGCAUUAGUUUUCAAAUUAAAAAUUUUUAGUUCUCUCCAACUAAUGAAAUAAAAAAAUAUAAUAUAAAAAUAAUUUUGCUACCAAUUAAAUUUAAAAUUGAAUAAAAUUUAAAUAAAUUAAUUAUUUAAAUAAAGUUAAAAUAACACAUUUAAAAUUUCAAAAUAUAACACAUCGAGACUAAUUAUUCAAAUAAAGCUACAAUAAUACGUUCAAAGUUUCAAAAUAUAACACACCAAGCUUAAUUGUUCAAAUAAAAUUACAAUAAUACGUUAAUAUAACACUGAAAUUAAUUGUUCAAAUAAAGCCACAAUUAAUUGAAAUGGCAAAGUUUCGGAAACCAAACACAGUCUGGUCCUUCACGAGUGCUGUUGCGCCUGUCGAAAAGUGGUGAUUACUGAGCCGUCCACGAUGGGAACUAGGAGAAGCUGUACGAGUGGCGAUCUUGAAGGUUGUGAUAGUGAAAUUGUUCAGCUGGAACCAGUGAAUGUGAAGUGGCUCGAUGGACUUGGGAAAGAAGAUGGCUUGCUCUCGCCGGGAUCGCACGGCCGAUAUCCUUCAAAUCUGUGUCGAGAGUGUAUCCAACCAGUAUUGAGUGUUGCUAGUGCGUGUGACAGCGGGGAAGCUUAGGGUUUUUUAUUUGCAAAUUGUUGGUGACUUGACAUCAUGUUACUUUGCUUUUGGGUGACUUUGCAAAUUGUUGGUGACUUAGCGUUAUGUUACUUUGUUUUUAUUUUGUUUUACAAUUUUUACAAGUUGUAUUUGUAUAUUUGAUUAUUUAAUUAUUUUUCAUUUUAUAUUAUUAUUGGGUAAUGGUUAAGAUAUGUUAUAGUGUUUAUGUAACUAUGUAAUAUCACAUUUAUAAUUUUUUAAAUUAAAUUUAUAAUAAUUUUUUAAUUAUAUAUAUAUAUAUAUAUAUUUUUUUUUUUUUUUUUUUUUGCGGAUUCACGGAUUUAUGCGGAUUUACAGAAGUAAAUUCAUAUCCAAUCCAUCGAUUGCGGAUUUUUAAAUUUUCAAUCCAUAUCCAAUCCACGGAUUAGAUUUAUACGGAUCGUAUUGAGCGGAUCAGACGGAUUGAGCGGAUCGGAUUGAAUUUUGAACACUCCUACAAUCCACCAAUCCACGGAUCGAAUUUUUACAAAUCGGAUUUUUACGGAUCAGAUUCGAUUUUGAACACCCCUUGAACACCCUUGCUAAUUUCACAUUUAUGUAUUGUGCCGCCAACAGUCAAAAACAUCUUGGAAAUUUUUUUUUUGUGCAAAAAAUUUCUAUGCCAGUAAUUUUCUUUAUACAUUGUGUAUAUGUGGAAUAAUAAUCCAAAUUGACAUAUACCCAUAAGGACAAUUGAAAAUUAAGAAAGGGUUAUUACAGAUCUUAAUAGAAAAUCAUGAAUUCUUAAACCAUGUUCUGCUACCAAUUGUUGAGAAUUUUUACAACUCUUAUAAAGCAAAUAAACCCUAAUUUGCAUAAACUUCAAUCCUUAAGAUCAUAGAAUAUCAUAAUUUCACAUCGCCAUAAUUGAGAGAAAACAUACCUUGAUCCAUAGCAAUUUUCUUGAUCAAAUCUCACUGUAAAGAAUUAAAGAUUAGUAAAAUUAAUUUCUAUUUCUUGACUCCUUUAGAGUGAUUCGCUUUCUUGAUGGAGCGAAAGUAAUGUUAUAUAUAUAUAUAUAUAUAUAUGGGGAGAGGAACAAUUUCAAUAAAACUCUUAUUUCCACUUUCCAUCCAAAUGGGCAAUUAGAUUUUUCCAAUUGACCAAUAAGAUUUUGGCCCAUUAUUUAUUUUAUUAUUUAAAUUUUAAAUUAUUACUAAUUCAAUAAUGUGGCACAUGGGCCACUAUAAAUAUUCCCACACCCAAAUCAGGCAUAUCUGCUUGAUCCCCCCACCGGUCAUUCUUAACUGAAAAUUUAAUAUUAUUAAACUUAUUUAUAAAUAUAUUGAAAUAAGAAUUAUAAAUGAUAUUCAACUGAAAUUCGCCCAAAAAAAACUUGCACAGGUAGUUUCCAUAUUGUUCAAAUCAGAAGAAACCUCCACUUCCCAAAUCAAAACUUAAGAAGUAAUCAAGUUGCUUUUGCGAGGUCUUGCUUCUGGUUUGAUAUGAUUAAUGAUUCAUAUGUAUAAACAAAUAGAAUGAAGUAAUUAAGCAUUGUGGAUAAUUGCAAAGAAGGAAGCAUGCAUGCGGUCCUAAUCGCGGAUUGCAAGAAUAAGCAUUGUAGAUAAUAGCAAGGAAAAAAGGUGAUCCCUGCGCAAUUUCAAAAUAUCUUUUCAUUUGGAAUUUUCAAAAUUUUUUAUAUAUAAAAGAUUAUUUGUAUAUAUUCAAUCCAAUGUAGAGCAGGAAUUUGGAUAAGAAAACUUAUCCAUAAAUGCACAUAUUAGAAUAUCAUUUUCGCUGGCGAAUUCUACUAAUCAGAAGAAGAAAAAAAAACCCGGUAGUUUCCAUAUUCUUCAGAUCAGAAGAGACGUCCACUUCCCCAGUCAAAACUCAAAUAUUAAUUAACGCCAUAAAUGCACAUAUUAAACUCAAACAUAAUUAACUCGCUGCUUCAGCAUAUUAUUUUUCCUCUGUUUCUGUACUAAUAGUCUUAUAAGUUAUCCCUUUCAUAAUCUUGUCGCCUAAUUUUAAGAUAAGGUUUAUCGUAUAAUUGAUGUAACGGAUGCACUUUAUCUUUUCAUCAUCACUUGGGAUAACAACAUUGUUAACAACAUUGUUACCGUAGCAUUUGAUGUUAUUAAUUUCGUGGAGUUCAUAAGUGUACAUUUGAGAGCAUGCAGCACGGCUAAAAGUGAAAAUGUAUGUGCAUCACGAGGAUCUGUCUCGACAUAUUGUAUUAAAAGUUUAGUUAAAAAAUAUUAAUUCUAAAUAAUAUAAAGAAAUUUUACUCUUACAAUACACAUGAAUCAUGUGCGAUUCAAACAUUUUUAAUGUAUCAUAGAUAAAAUUCAUGCUAAAGAUAUCGACGUUAGAAAAUAAAAAAUAAAAAUUAUACGCACAAUUUAAACAGAAAAACUCACCAAAUUCUGAAUCUUAAGAAUGAAUUGAGAAAAUACCAAACACUCAAACUAAAUAAUUGUUUCCUUGCAUCCCUCAUCCCCGGAAUGUUGAGUUGUUAAUGAACCUAAUGCAUGAAAGAAUCAAAGAAGAAAAAGGGCCAGGCCCACGAUUUUAAAUUUUUGAGGCUUACUUUAUAACGUCACCGCAAUUAAUUAAAGCAAGGUGACAGCAUCAUGUCGACACUCUUCACCCGCACAGUUUACUAUACACGUAUACCCAUGUCGCCAUAAAGAUCGAAGAGGACAGAUCGAUGAAAACGACAGGCGAACGAAAACAAAAUGCCACGGGCUGCUAGAUGUCAACAUAGUCAACUAAACGUCACUAUCUAUGGACCACGAUAAAGAAAUCUAACGGUCCAGAAAAUUCCAGUCUUACUGAAAAACUGUCGUGUCUUUAGCUUCUUCCAUGACAGACCGGCGUUACCCGAAUUAUAAAAGAACGUCUUCCUUUGGUUAACUCACCAAUGUCCAUUUCCUCAAGGAAAAUGAUGUUUGCCCCGGAUUAAAUCCCGGGUCAAACCCCGAAAAUGAAACACACCGUUUUACCAAGCUCCUUUCCUUUAUCGAUUAAGUGGAGCAGAGCCAUUCAAAGUCCUCAAUCCACCAUCCAAAAUCCAGAAUCCAUGCGUACACAGCCACUGGGACAGCCACCACCGACAACCAACCACCGCCACUACCAUCACCACUGCCACCAGUGAUAGAGAUUAGUAAUUGUAAGUAAUAAAUUGCAAUUUUCGACUCAACAUAUUAUAUAAAAACUAAAUCUGUUUUCAACUACAUAAUCAUUGUUUUCAAAUUAUAAUGGGAUGGAACUAGCAAUCCUUUGGGAAGUUUUCCAUAUGUGGAAUUGUCACUUUGGACAUCACGCUUUAACUAAAUCUGCCAGCCUCCCUUGUUCAAUUAGUUAUUCAAUUCUGCAGGUACAUGAUAUUUCUUUCUAGUGUUUUGGCAUAACAAGACUGAAAGAGAAAGAUCGUUUAUGUAGAAGGAAGAUAACAGCUUGAGGGGUUUUGCAGUUGGGGUUAUGUAGUUGGGGUAUGUGGUGAAGUGAAAAAUCGAAAGAGAAAGAUGAGUUUUUUCUGUUUCUUUAUUACAAGAGAAAGAUGAGUUUGUUCUCAAAAAAAAAGAAAGAUGAGUUUGAUACAGAGCUGGAAUGCUCAAGCAAAACGACGUUGUUUUAAGAAAAACUGAAACGACCCAAAAAAUUAACAAAACGGCGUCGUUUUAUUAAAGCUUCGGGGCUUGACCCGGAGUUUGACCCAGGGCAUCUAUCAGCACUCUUUCCUCAAACACGAGAAUGCAAAGUUUGCUAAAUUAUUUUUGGUGAUCUGGUGGGUACUGGCUUUUAAUUAAUAAUCGUGUUAUGUUAAUUUUUGUUUUUAGUAUAUUAAAUAUGUACCUUUAACAAAUGAGUCGAAUUUUUCUUGAUUCAAAAUUUUUUAUAUCUUAUUCCAACACAGUAAGAAUAUAAUCGAUGAUGCAUAUUGUCAUUGUCAAAAUAAUUAUUAAAAAAAUAUUAUACUUUAGUAAUAAAAGAGAGAUUAAUUUUUUUAUUUUAGGUUAAAUUUCCUCUUUAUUUAAUAAUUUAUUUUUCUUUAUUCAAUGCUUGAAGAAAGUAAGAAUGUUGAUUUUCUUAGUUUAGAAGAAUGGAUAAACUCUCUUCGAACUUUUGAAAUGUGAAAAUGAAUUCCGGGCCAUAGCUUUCUUAUUUAUACUUCAUCGCAUGCAUGGCUUCACUUCUCGACCACGUCAAUAAUAAUAAUAAUUAAAGCAUAGCAUCUUCCGUUCACUUUGUUUCAAUUGGGAAACUUUCACUUUUACUAGCUCAAGAUAAGUAUCAAUACCACGGCAUCUUCCCGUCACUUUCUUUCAAUUGGGAAAAUUCUACUUUUACUAGCUCAAGAUAGGUGUCAAUACCACAACGGUUGAUGCAAGUUAUCUUUUUUUUUUUUUUUUUAUAUAGAUGAUACAGUAAGUAACCACUUAUUUUUAUUUUAUUUCAUUUAUAUUUUUAAUAACUACUCAUAUUUUUAGUAACUUACUGUAACUCCCAUAUCUAAGAAAUGAUCAAAACCCACAAUUUCAACUCCAUAUAAAUAUCCAAUCCUGAGCUAAGUUUUUGCAUAACAUUCAAAUUUGUAAAACAGUCAUUAAUUUAUAUUAAUUUGAUGUUUAGUAAAAAUUUAGUUCAGCAUUGAAUCCCAUAACUAUUGAUAAGUGAUUUCAUAUAAUUUUUUUUCAAGUUAAAUUUUAAUUUGGUUUCUAAUAUAAUCUCUUUGUCGAAUUGUAUCUUUUAUGAUUCGUGGAUUUUAGGCUCUAAGUUUUUAGGAUUUGAUAGUCACUUUUUUUGCCAUGCUCAGAUUGAUUUUCAUGAUUUUAGUACCCGUUAAGUGACUUACAAUUUGACAAAAGUUGGAAAGGAAAUAUGUUUCAGGAUUCUAUUUUAAUUUUUAUUCUUGACAUUUAAGAUUAACAAAGGGUUCAGUGCUUUCGUGUUCUUUCUGAAGUAAUGACUAAUUAAUCAUGUAAGCAAAGGCAAGGUUCUUGGUUUGACUUUUAUUUAAUUUAAUAUAUAAAGCAAAGACAUGAUCAUGAGUUCCUCCAAUUUUAUAUUUGUGGUGGGCGCUAUUUUCCUUUUUUAACUUUCGUCGUGGGUACCAAUGGUCAUUUGGUCCAGUGGGAGAAACCUUACACUUAGAAUAAUGAGUGCAAGGGUUCGAGCCUCCAUAAAAGUAUUUACGGGGCUUAGUUACAAUCCUUCCUCAAUUAUCAAAUAGUUGAGUGGAGCCAAUCUAUUCCUCACGAAAUAUGAAUAGAGUGGACAGCCCUCGAAUAUUUGAGAGGGUUUGAAGAAUUUGGGCAGCGAUUCAGAGGAGUAUACGCUACGAAGAAGGUCCCAAUUACAGAAUCUGUUUGUAAAUAUUAAUUAUAAUACCUACAGUCCUGUAUAACAGUAUUAAAAAAAAAAAAACUUUUGUCGUGGGUUUUGCCUUAUUCGCUUUAAUUUCCAUAAACUCAUAAUUCGGUUUCUUCCUCCUCCCUCUCGCCCCCCCCCCCCCCCCUUCCCCCACACCGUAAACAAAAAAAACAAAAAAAAAAGAGGAAAAAAUGCCAAUCAUCAGAGAGGCAAUCCUUAUGGCAUCCUUUAAGUUGCUGGUCAAUAAGUUAAUUAGCUAUAGUAGGGAUACGAUUGUUUGAUCUAAUGGCAAUGAUAAAUGGAGUUUUAUAAAAGGAAGACAACCCAAAUAAUAGGGCAUAAGUGUAUGUAUAAAUAGAGGUCAUGCUAUGCUAUUUAGACAUGAAUAAAAUGAUGUUACACCACUCUUUUCUUAGCCGUUUUUCCUAAAUAAAAUUUUAUCAAUCAACAUCUAUUUUUUAUGCUUUAAAUAUCUAUAUAUUUUUUCUUUUUGUAGAAAUAAUAUAUUGAUUCUUGGCAGGUUUACAACAUUAAAAAAUAUUCAAGUUUGUUUCAUCGACAUACAAUGUAAGCAAAUAAAUAAGCGUUUUAUUGUAUCAUGGAGGCAUAUUUGCUUAAUUCAUGUGCAUCAUUUGAUUGAUGGAGGCAAAUAAUAUUUUAAGAAAAACAAUAUUUCGAACGUAUCUUGAAGUAAAUAUUAAUUUCUUAUGGUUUAUCAUUUUUAUUAGAGCAUCACCAAAAGGUUCUUCAAAUAAGUAAUAAAAAAAAAAAUUGACCAACCGCGUUCAAAUUUGUUUGAUCAUUGUAUGUUCCAAAGAAUUCCAUAAACAAACUUGGUAAAGAUUAUUUAAAACAAACCAAGCAUGAUCCAAUUAUUUUAUUAAAGCAAUCAAUAAAGAGUUUUUACGAAAACACAUCCAUCCUUCGAUCCUAUUUCCUUCUGGUAUCAGAGCCAAGGGGAGGAUUGUGUAAAGCAGUUUAAAAUUUUGUGUUUAAAAUCUUGUGUUCUAUUUUGAAGUUUUGUUUGUGUGGUGAAUUUUUACUGGUUGUAAGUCCCGUCCAAGGAUAAGUUUUCCGUUUUAGGGCUGUAAUACUAUACCUGUAACCAUUCUGACCAAACCAUAGAUAGACCAUAGGGUUCUAACCAUGAAUCCUCUACAUUGUAGAACAUCGUCCUUUUCUAGCUCUUCUUCCGGGAAGACUAGUGAUUCAAAGCAUGUUGUGAGCUCGGAAGAAUUCGUUAUUGAGAACUUUGAUAAAGCAAUUGAUUGUUGGGAACUUCCAAAAAUUUCAAAAGAGCAAAUUUACAAAACAAAAAAGUUUGAUUUUCUAAAGAGUGAUUAUGUUAUAAAAACCGAAGAAAGAGACAUAACCCUUUCUACACCAUUUGAAACAAUUCAUUUGUUUUCAGAAAAAUCUUUAAAGAAGUUAAAAGAAAAGAAUUUUAAUUACAUCCACAUUGGUUUGAUCCAAAUAGGAAUAAAGCCCUUAACCAAAGAAGGCUUGGAUACUUCUAUCCUUGCUGUCCUUAGAGAUGGUCGAUUCAUCUCUUUUGAUGAUUCCUUGCUAAGUAGCAUCGAAUCCAGUCUAUGUAAAGGUCCAAUUUCUUUUGACUGUUAUCCAAACAUAACACUUUCUCUUAAAGACAAAAAUAUUUUGAAAAGCAUGAUUUUACAGAUUAAAACGCAUAAUUACAAUAUGAUAGAUGGAUCAGUCCCAGUUGCUUUAAUCUUUAAAAUCUCUUAUAAGGCUAUGAUCUCUGCGUUUAGUACGCAGCAUAAAUUCCAGUCAAAAAGAGAUGAGACUCUUCUCUUGCAGACUAACUUGUCUAAAGCAAACACUGUCAUUCCAAAACCAAUCCAAUGGAAAGAUGUCAAUCUUCCAGAGGAAUGGAUUCUUGAAGGAAUUGCUCCACCAGCAGUUCCAAAACAACUUGAGCCAAAUACAGAGUUGCAAAAUGUGACUCAGUAUUCUGAUGGUAAAGUCAAAUUGUCAUUCAGGAGAUCUAAUUCAACCCGAUUUUCUGAUAAAGAGUCGUGCUCAAGUAUUCCUUCCUUCGAAAGGAAAUUUACAAAAAUCCCUUCUGUUAUAAAUCUUCCUUAUCAAAGUCAGCCUAGGUUUUCUACUUCGGAUUUACCUAGUUCCUCAAUUCGUUCUGUUGACUAUACCACUAAAGUCCCUCAUCCCAUUUAUAUUAGCAGUCAACAUGAACAAAGACAGGAAGAGAAGGAACCUUCUCCUCCAACUUCCCCUACGUUCUCUGCUGUCACAGAAAACGUCAUAAAUGUUAUUGAAAAUCAUUUUGAAGUAGAUAGAACUCUUCUUCAUAAUGAUUUUUAUUCAAAUGAAAACGAAGAAAAAAAACUUUGGUUUUUUAAACAUUUUUUAAAUCAAAGAAAAGAAAUCCAACAAAUCUAUUAUGAAUUUGUAAAUUUACAUCAAAUUCAUAUAUUGUUUUUUGAUUGGUUCGAAAUAUAUUCUUCUGAGCACAAUAUUUCUUAUCCUUUUAAAGAGUCAAGCCCUAUUACUAUUAGGAAGAAAAUUCCAGAAUGGAAACUCACUGAUAGUAAUAAAACUAUAGAAUCUGAACAUCCUCCUAUUAGGAGCAUAACCAUAGAUCAUGGUGAACCUCCUAUUGAAAUCAGAGCUUCUCCUUACAAAAUCCCUAUACCAAAUGAUUCUGAUAUAAAUUUAAGUAGUAUUAUCCAACAGAAUAAUUUCUGUAAUACUAACUUAAAUACUAUCGGAAAGCAAUUGACUAGAAUAGAAAACCAAUUCCAAAAGUCAACCAUCACUGUUUCUUCAACGUCUCUUAUUCCAUCAAAAUCGGAUUCUGAUAAAAAGCUUAAGGAACCUAUUUUCAAACCUUUUCAGGUUUCGAAAACUAGCCAAAGGCUUGUCCAUGAAUCAAAAUCAGAUUUUGCUAAAGCCAUUAGAGAACAACUAGAUAGGAUAGAAGCUGCUUCUUCCUCAUCUAGCAAAGUUCAGAUAGCCCCUGAUACUCCUCAAUCUAGCAAGAUUGGAGUAUUAAAUCUUGACCAGGUUUCUAUUGCCUCUUCUGACUUAGAAGCCUUUACCGAAGAACCUGUUCCUAAAGCCAAUAAAAUCCAAUGGGAUUUAGCACUCCCUAUUUCUAAAUCUCCACCUGAUUUGACUAUAGACAACAGGCCUAGUGCAUUAAAUCAAGCUAGAUAUAAUGCAUCCUCUGUCUAUGAGUGGAAUAUAGAUGGAAUGUCUGAGUACAACAUUUUAGGUGUAUUGCAGCAAAUGACCAUGGCAGCCAAUGCCUAUAAAACUCAAUCAGGAACUUCUGACAAAGCCAUUGCAGAAAUCCUAAUUGCCGGUUUUACUGGUCAACUUAAAGGAUGGUGGGAUCAUCUUCUAACCAAAUUGCAGCAAUUAGACAUCUUAAAUGCCAUCCAAAUCGAUGAGAAUGGUGCUCCCAUUCUUGACGAUCUCAAUAAUCCAAUUCAGGAUGCUGUUGCUACCCUGAUUUUAACCAUAUCCCUUCAUUUCAUAGGUGACCCUUUUCACCUUAGAGACAAAAACGCCGAGUUACUACACAAUUUAAGAUGUAGAAAACUCAGUGAAUUCCAAGAUUACAAAACCACUUUCUUUACUAGACUCUUCCUAAGGGAUGAUGCUAAUCAUGUAACUUGGAAGGAGAAAUUCCUUGCAGGUUUACCUACCCUUUUGGGAGAAAAUGUUAGAAACUCUAUCAAAGCCCUUUAUGACAAUCGUGUUCCUUAUGACGAGCUCACUUAUGGUGAACUAGUCAGUUUUUUCAAUAAAGAAGGUUUAAAGAUCUGUCAAGAUUUGAAAUUACAGAGACGUCUAAAAUGGGAGCUUAGGAAAUCUAAGCAAGAAUUAGGCGGUUUCUGUAAGCAAUUCAAUUACGACCCCUUUAAAGCUUCUACUUCUAAAGACUGUAAUAGUAAGUGUUCUUCAAAACCUUACAAGAAACAUUACAAGUCUAAAAGCCAUAGGAAACCCUUUCAUAAUUUUAGGAAACUUCCUUAUAAGAAACCUUCGAGGCCUUAUAAGAAACAUAGUUUUUCUAAAAAGAAAGAGUUUAAAACCAAUCCUAAAACCCCAUUCAAUUUCAAAGAUGCUACAUGUUUCAAAUGUGGUAUGAAAGGCCAUACUGCAAAAUUUUGCAGAAUGAACAAGAGACUUCAAGAGCUUGACCUCAAUGAGGACAUCCUUUCCAAAAUAGCCCCCUUCUAGUAGAGUCUUCUGACUCUGAGUCUUCCAUGUCAGGAGAUAGUGACCCCCUCCAAGUUGAUGAGUUAUUUGAUUCAGAUACCUCUGCAUCUAGCAGUAGCGAUUCUGAUUCGGAUUCUUAUUUAAAGAAAAUCAAUGUUUUGACUAAAGACCAAGAGAUUUUCCUUGAACUUGUAAAGCAUAUUUCUGAUCCAAAUCUUCAAAAAGAGUAUCUUGACAAACUUUUGAAAACCAUGGAUUCAAACAAAGCAGAAACUUCUAAAGUUCCUAUUGUUAAAAAGAAUUCUUACGAUCUUACUGAGAUUUUAGACAAAAAGAAAACAAAGAAAUCUACUCCUAGUAUCCAAGAUCUUCAAAAGGAGAUCAAAGAUAUUAAACUUGAAAUAAAGGAUUUGAAAGAAAAACAAAAGAUUGAUUCUAAUACUAUCCAACUUCUUUUACAAAAGCAAUUACAGGAUAACUCAGACAAUGAGUCAACUCCUGAUGGUGAUAACGAUAAUAUUGACCAAAAGGUUGAUAAUAUCAAUUCUGUUCCAAAAGAUUUUUUGUUUGUUUUAAAACAAAUCACCACCAGAAAAUAUUUGGUAAAAAUUACUUUAAUCUUUUCCAAAGAUUUUGCAAUGGACGCCAUUGCUCUUUUUGACACUGGUGCUGAUUUAAAUUGCAUUAGAGAGGACAUUGUUCCAAAACGAUUUCAUGAAAAGACAAAUGAAAGACUCUCUGCUGCAAAUAAUUCAAAACUAAAAGUUAAUUCCAAAGUUGAAGCUUCGAUUUAUAACGAUGAGAUUGAAUUUAAAACUUCUUUUGUUCUUACAAAUGAUAUACACCAUGCUAUCAUUUUAGGAACCCCUUUUAUAAAUCUCAUCACCCCUUAUGCUGUCAAUUAUGAUGGUAUUUAUUUCAGAGCAAAAUCCAAAGAUCUUGUUUUCUCAUUUAUAGAAAAACCAAAAACAAGAAAUCUUAACAUUGUCAAAGCUUGUUCUGUUUAUCAAAACAAAGUCAAUGCCAUUCUUAAAUCUAAACAAGAUGAUUUAUUUUGUUUACAAAAGGAUUUAAGUUUCCAAAGAAUUGAAAGUCAAUUGCAAAAUGAUUUUAUACAAAGAAAAAUCUCUGAUUUUAAAGCUUUUAUUGAAAAAGAAAUAUGUGCCGAUUUACCUUCUGCUUUCUGGAAUAGAAAACAACACUUGGUUGAUUUGCCAUAUGAAAAUUCUUUUGAUGAAAAGCAAAUACCCACUAAAGCUCGUUCAAUCCAAAUGAACAUGGAAUUGGAACAACAUUGUAAAAAUGAGAUAAGAGAUCUUGAAACUAAAGGUCUCAUUGUAAAGUCCAGAUCACCUUGGUCAUGUGCUGCUUUUUAUGUUAAUAAAAAUUCUAAAAUUGAAAGAGGUGUUCCGAGACUUGUGAUAAAUUAUAAACCUUUGAAUAAAGCUUUAAAAUGGAUUAGGUACCCAAUACCUAAUAAAAAGGAUUUGCUUCAAAAACUUUGUUCAGCUUUCAUUUUUUCAAAAUUUGAUAUGAAGUCUGGUUUUUGGCAAAUUCAAAUUCAUCCAAAUGACCGUUAUAAAACCGCUUUUACUGUACCAUUUGGCCAAUACGAAUGGACAGUUAUGCCCUUUGGGUUGAAAAAUGCACCCUCGGAAUUUCAAAGAAUCAUGAAUGACAUUUAUAAUCCCUACUCCGAGUUUUGUAUCGUUUAUAAUGAUGAUGUGUUGAUUUUUUCUCAAAGUAUUGAUCAACAUUUCAAACAUUUAAAGACUUUUCAUCUUGUUACAAAAAAAAGCUGGUCUGGCCCUUUCAAGUACAAAGAUUUCAUUAUUUCAAACAAAAGUCAGGUUCCUUGGUCACCAUAUUUCCAAAGGCACUAUUACCCCUAUUGAGAGAUCACUUUUGUUUGCGGAUAAAUUCCCAGACAAAAUUCUUGACAAAACCCAAUUACAAAGAUUUCUUGGUAGUUUAAAUUAUGUUCUUGACUUCUGCCCUAACAUCAAUAGGAUAUCUAAACCUUUGCAUGAUAGGUUGAAAAAGAAUCAUGUUGCAUGGUCAGACGAACAUACCAAAGUUGUUAGAUUAAUAAAACAGUCUGUUAAAAACAUCCCAUGUUUAUUUCUUGCAAAUCCUGCAUUACCUAAAAUUGUUGAAACAGAUGCAUCUGAUAUAGGUUAUGGAGGUAUAUUGAAACAAAAGGAAAAUGAUAAAGAACAGAUAGUACAAUAUGUUUCUGCACAUUGAAAUGAUUGCCAAAAAAAUUAUUCUACUAUCAAAAAAGAAAUUCUUUCUAUUGUUUUAUGCAUAUCCAAAUUCCAAAGUGAUUUAUUAAAUCAAAAAUUUUUACUUAGAAUUGAUUGCAAAGCUGCAAAACAUGUUUUAGAAAAAGAUGUUCAAAACAUUGCAUCCAAACAGAUUUUUGCACGAUGGCAAGCUAUUUUAAGUGUUUUUUAUUUUGAUAUUGAGUUUAUUAAAGGUGACAAAAACUCUGUUCCUGAUUUUCUAACCAGAGAAUUUCUUCAAAACAGAUAAUGCCGCCAAAGAAGAAAGACAAAGGUAAAGCAGUUCUUAAAGACACUGGAUCUCAAGAACCUUCUAAAGAACCUCAAACAACCCCUUCUAAAGAAAAACUUCUUUCUUCUGCCUUGCCCAUCAAAUCCUGGAUCGAACUGGUCGAAGAACAUGAAGCCCAAUACAAAUCCAUUUCUUCUGAUGACCAAGUAAAGCAAUGGAUGAGUUCCAUUACAAAAUCCCCUGAGCUUAUGCUCGCUUUACAAAGCCUUUCUCAAAGUCAAUCUUCUCCCAGCAAAGAAGAAAAAGAAAAGCCCAUUUCCAAAGAAGUUUCAAAACCUUCUUCCCAAAAUGUUGUCGUGUCCUGUGAAAGCUCAAAUACUGAAAUACAUAAUGAAAUACAACACGGGUGAAGAGACAUGUGCGCUCUCACUUGUGUUAAAGGGACCACCCGAAAUUUUUUUUUUUUAAGUAAAUAAUCAAAUAAUUAUUUACAAUGCUUUAAAGGAGAGAAAAUUCCAAAACAAUCAUCUUCAUUUUCAUCUCCGAGAGAAACGGUUGGCUCGUCAUCAUCGUCGUCGUCGUCUUCAGAGGAAUCUGCUACUGAGGACUUGGAUCGAGAGGCGAGGAGCUGUUCCAUGGCUUUGAAGUAUUCUUCUUCAGUUUUGGCACUUGCCAGAAGGGCUUGGGCUUUGGAUUUUUGAGAAAGGAAAGUGCCUUGGGCUUUAAUGUCUUUGAUGGUAGGUUGUAAAUGGCCUUUAGAAGAAAGCCAUUUUUCAAUCUCGGUUGUAGUCAAUUUGGAUUGUUCAUCGAAUUUUGACCACCAUUUGACUUUGAAGGUUCUUUGAAGGAUAAAUUGGGAAUCUUGAGUAUGAAGUCGGAGACUCCACAUCCAAACCCAAGGGAGAAAGAAAUUUGUACAAAAACAGAGAAAAGGAGGAAAUCUUUUCUCUGACUCAGAAGGCUUGUAAUGGGCUUUGAAAAGGUUUAAACAGUUUAAGGCGUUAGGGAUAAGAAUAUCUGGACUAGGUCCAAAAUGAUUCCACCAGUGUUGGAACCAAUUUGGUAGACUUUGAACGGUUAUUUUUGAAUUGAAGAAAAAUAACCAAGAGUGGGAUUUUUUAGGAUUUUGGAUAAAAAAGGUGUUAUACCAGGCUUGUUGGUAAUCCCAGUAGGAAAAAGUCCGACAAUGUGGUAAACGGGUCUCAAAAUUUAAAGGAAAGGUUUUGAAAUUGUGGAGGAGGUCACCCCACUGGUUUAGGCUCAGUACUUUUAGGAUUGUGGCCGUAGAAUAGGCCGGCUCAGAAUGAGAAUUGCUGAGAAAGAAAUGUUUGAAUUUGACUGACUCAGUAAUUUCUAAAAUGCUUUGAUAAUAAGACUGGGGUUUUGUUAAAUCUCAUGGUUUAAAAAACCAGCCUUUGGGGAAAAACUUUGAAAUGCUUUGAAAAGGAUCAGUAUAGUAAAAUCCAUCUUCCAUGGAAAGAAUGUUUUGAAAAUGGGUUUUAUCAAACCAAUCGGAGGUUUUCUUUGAAAGUGUUGGCUGUGAAAGCACAAUUUGAGAAGAUGAGCUUUCACAGGACACGACAACAUUUUGGGAAGAAGGUUUUGAAACUUCUUUGGAAAUGGGCUUUUCUUUUUCUUCUUUGCUGGGAGAAGAUUGACUUUGAGAAAGGCUUUGUAAAGCGAGCAUAAGCUCAGGGGAUUUUGUAAUGGAACUCAUCCAUUGCUUUACUUGGUCAUCAGAAGAAAUGGAUUUGUAUUGGGCUUCAUGUUCUUCGACCAGUUCGAUCCAGGAUUUGAUGGGCAAGGCAGAAGAAAGAAGUUUUUCUUUAGAAGGGGUUGUUUGAGGUUCUUUAGAAGGUUCUUGAGAUCCAGUGUCUUUAAGAACUGCUUUACCUUUGUCUUUCUUCUUUGGCGGGAUUAUCUGUUUUGAAGAAAUUCUCUGGUUAGAAAAUCAGGAACAGAGUUUUUGUCACCUUUAAUAAACUCAAUAUCAAAAUAAAAAACACUUAAAAUAGCUUGCCAUCGUGCAAAAAUCUGUUUGGAUGCAAUGUUUUGAACAUCUUUUUCUAAAACAUGUUUUGCAGCUUUGCAAUCAAUUCUAAGUAAAAAUUUUUGAUUUAAUAAAUCACUUUGGAAUUUGGAUAUGCAUAAAACAAUAGAAAGAAUUUCUUUUUUGAUAGUAGAAUAAUUUUUCUGGCAAUCAUUCUAAUGUGCAGAAACAUAUUGUACUAUCUGUUCUUUAUCAUUUUCCUUUUGUUUCAAUAUACCUCCAUAACCUAUAUCAGAUGCAUCUGUUUCAACAAUUUUAGGUAAUGCAGGAUUUGCAAGAAAUAAACAUGGGAUGUUUUUAACAGACUGUUUUAUUAAUCUAACAACUUUGGUAUGUUCGUCUGACCAUGCAACAGGAUUCUUUUUCAACCUAUCAUGCAAAGGUUUAGAAAUCCUAUUGAUGUUAGGGCAGAAGUCAAGAACAUAAUUUAAACUACCAAGAAAUCUUUGUAAUUGGGUUUUGUCAAGAAUUUUGUCUGGGAAUUUAUCCGCAAACAAAAGUGAUCUCUCAAUAGGGGUAAUAGUGCCUUUGGAAAUAUGGUGACCAAGGAACCUGGCUUUUGUUUGAAAUAAUGAAAUCUUUGUACUUGAAAGGGCCAGACCAGCUUUUUUUGUAACAAGAUGAAAAGUCUUUAAAUGUUUGAAAUGUUGAUCAAUACUUUGAGAAAAAAUCAACACAUCAUCAAUAUAAACGAUACAAAACUCGGAGUAGGGAUUAUAAAUGUCAUUCAUGAUUCUUUGAAAUUCCGAGGGUGCAUUUUUCAACCCAAAGGGCAUAACUGUCCAUUCGUAUUGGCCAAAUGGUACAGUAAAAGCGGUUUUAUAACGGUCAUUUGAAUGAAUUUGAAUUUGCCAAAAACCAGACUUCAUAUCAAAUUUUGAAAAAAUGAAAGCUGAACAAAGUUUUUGAAGCAAAUCCUUUUUAUUAGGUAUUGGGUACCUAAUCCAUUUUAAAGCUUUAUUCAAAGGUUUAUAAUUUAUCACAAGUCUCGGAACACCUCUUUCAAUUUCAGAAUUUUUAUUAACAUAAAAAGCAGCACAUGACCAAGGUGAUCUGGACUUUACAAUGAGACCUUUAGUUUCAAGAUCUCUUAUCUCAUUUUUACAAUGUUGUUCCAAUUCCAUGUUCAUUUGGAUUGGACGAGCUUUAGUGGGUAUUUGCUUUUCAUCAAAAGAAUUUUCAUAUGGCAAAUCAACCAAGUGUUGUUUUCUAUUCCAGAAAGCAGAAGGUAAAUCGGCACAUAUUUCUUUUUCAAUAAAAGCUUUAAAAUCAGAGAUUUUUCUUUGUAUAAAAUCAUUUUGCAAUUGACUUUCAAUUCUUUGGAAACUUAAAUCCUUUUGUAAACAAAAUAAAUCAUCUUGUUUAGAUUUAAGAAUGGCAUUGACUUUGUUUUGAUAAACAGAACAAGCUUUGACAAUGUUAAGAUUUCUUGUUAUUGGUUUUUCUGUAAAUGAGAAAACAAGAUCUUUGGAUUUUGCUCUGAAAUAAAUACCAUCAUAAUUGACAGCAUAAGGGGUGAUGAGAUUUAUAAAAGGGGUUCCUAAAAUGAUAGCAUGGUGUAUAUCAUUUGUAAGAACAAAAGAAGUUUUAAAUUCAAUCUCAUCGUUAUAAAUCGAAGCUUCAACUUUGGAAUUAACUUUUAGUUUUGAAUUAUUUGCAGCAGAGAGUCUUUCAUUUGUCUUUUCAUGAAAUCGUUUUGGAACAAUGUCCUCUCUAAUGCAAUUUAAAUCAGCACCAGUGUCAAAAAGAGCAAUGGCGUCCAUUGCAAAAUCUUUGGAAAAGAUUAAAGUAAUUUUUACCAAAUAUUUUCUGGUGGUGAUUUGUUUUAAAACAAACAAAAAAUCUUUUGGAACAGAAUUGAUAUUAUCAACCUUUUGGUCAAUAUUAUCGUUAUCACCAUCAGGAGUUGACUCAUUGUCUGAGUUAUCCUGUAAUUGCUUUUGUAAAAGAAGUUGGAUAGUAUUAGAAUCAAUCUUUUGUUUUUCUUUCAAAUCCUUUAUUUCAAGUUUAAUAUCUUUGAUCUCCUUUUGAAGAUCUUGGAUACUAGGAGUAGAUUUCUUUGUUUUCUUUUUGUCUAAAAUCUCAGUAAGAUCGUAAGAAUUCUUUUUAACAAUAGGAACUUUAGAAGUCUUUAGAAGUAGAAGCUUUAAAGGGGUCGUAAUUGAAUUGCUUACAGAAACCGCCUAAUUCUUGCUUAGAUUUCCUAAGCUCUCAUUUUAGACGUCUCUGUAAUUUCAAAUCUUGACAGAUCUUUAAACCUUCUUUAUUGACAAAACUGACUAGUUCACCAUAAGUGAGCUCGUCAUAAGGAACACGAUUGUCAUAAAGGGCUUGAUAGAGUUUCUAACCUUUUCUCCCAAAAGGGUAGGUAAACCUGCAAGGAAUUUCUCCUUCCAAGUUACAUGAUUAGCAUCAUCCCUUAGGAAGAGUCUAGUAAAGAAAGUGGUUUUGUAAUCUUGGAAUUCACUGAGUUUUCUACAUCUUAAAUUGUGUAGUAACUCGGCGUUUUUGUCUCUAAGGUGAGAAGGGUCACCUAUGAAAUGAAGGGAUAUGGUUAAAAUCAGGGUAGCAACAGCAUCCUGAAUUGGAUUAUUGAGCUCGUCAAGAAUGGGAGCACCAUUCUCAUCGAUUUGGAUGGCAUUUAAGAUGUCUAAUUGCUGCAAUUUGGUGAGAAGAUGAUCCCACCAUCCUUUAAGUUGACCAGUAAAACCGGCAAUUAGGAUUUCUGCAAUGGCUUUGUCAGAAGUUCCUGAUUGAGUUUUAUAGGCAUUGGCUGCCAUGGUCAUUUGCUGCAAUACACCUAAAAUGUUGUACUCAGACAUUCCAUCUAUAUUCCACUCAUAGACAGAGGAUGCAUUAUAUCUAGCUUGAUUUUAUGCACUAGGCCUGUUGUCUAUAGUCAAAUCAGGUGGAGAUUUAGAAAUAGGGAGUGCUAAAUCCCAUUGGAUUUUAUUGGCUUUAGGAACAGGUUCUUCGGUAAAGGUUUCUAAGUCUGAAGAGGCAAUAGAAACCUGGUCAAGAUUUAAUACUCCAAUCUUGCUAGAUUGAGGAGUAUCAGGGGCUAUCUGAACUUUGCUAGAUGAGGAAGAAGCAGCUUCUAUCCUAUCUAGUUGUUCUCUAAUGGCUUUAGCAAAAUCUGAUUUUAAUUCAUGGACAAGCCUUUGGCUAGUUUUCGAAACCUGAAAAGAUUUGAAAAUAGGUUCCUUAAGCUUUUUAUCAGAAUCCGAUUUUGAUGGAAUAGGAGACGUUGAAGAAACAGUGAUGGUUGACUUUUGGAAUUGGUUUUCUAUUCUAGUCAAUUGCUUUCUGAUAGUAUUUAAGUUAGUAUUACAGAAAUUAUUCUGUUGGAUAAUACUACUUAAAUUUAUAUCAGAAUCAUUUGGUAUAGGGAUUUUGUAAGGAGAAGCUCUGAUUUCAAUAGGAGGUUCACCAUGAUCUAUGGUUAUGCUCCUAAUAGAAGGAUGUUCAAAUUCUAUGGUUUUAUUACUAUCAGUGAGUUUCCAUUCAGGAAUUUUCUUCCUAAUAGUAAUCGGGCUUGACUCUUUAAAAGGAUAAGAAAUAUUGUGUUCAGAAGAAUAUAUUUCGAACCAAUCAAAAAACAAUAUAUGAAUUUGAUGUAAAUUUACAAAUUCAUAAAAGAUUUGUUGGAUUUCUUUUCUUUGAUUUAAAAAAUGUUUAAAAAACCAAAGUCUUUUUUCUUCGUUUUCAUUUGAAUAAAAAUCAUUAUGAAGAAGAGUUCUAUCUACUUCAAAAUGCUUUUCAAUAACAUUUAUGACGUUUUCUGUGACAGCAGAGAACGUAGGGGAAGUUGGAGGAGAAGGUUCCUUCUCUUCCUGUCUUUGUUCAUGUUGACUGCUAAUAUAAAUGGGAUGAGGGACUUUAGUGGUAUAGUCAACAGAACGAAUUGAGGAACUAGGUAAAUCCGAAGUAGAAAACCUAGGCUGACUUUGAUAAGGAAGAUUUAUAACAGAAGGGAUUUUUGUAAAUUUCCUUUCUAACGAAGGAAUACUUGAGCACGACUCUUUAUCAGAAAAUCUGGUUGAAUUAGAUCUCCUGAAUGACAAUUUGACCUUACCAUCAGAAUACUGAGUCACAUUUUGCAACUCUGUAUUUGGCUCAAGUUGUUUUGGAACUGCUGGUGGAGCAAUUCCUUCAAGAAUCCAUUCCUCUGGAAGAUUGACAUCUUUCCAUUGGAUUGGUUUUGGAAUGACAGUGUUUGCUUUAGACAAGUCAGUCUGCAAGAGAAGAGUCUCAUCUCUUUUUGACUGGAAUUUAUGCUGCGUACUAAACGCAGAGAUCAUAGCCUUAUAAGAGAUUUUAAAGAUUAAAGCAACUGGGACUGAUCCCUCUAUCAUAUUGUAAUUAUGCGUUUUAAUCUGUAAAAUCAUGCUUUUCAAAAUAUUUUUGUCUUUAAGAGAAAGUGUUAUGUUUGGAUAACAGUCAAAAGAAAUUGGACCUUUACAUAGACUGGAUUCGAUGCUACUUAGCAAGGAAUCAUCAAAAGAGAUGAAUCGACCAUCUCUAAGGACAGUAAGGAUAGAAGUAUCCAAGCCUUCUUUGGUUAAGGGCUUUAUUCCUAUUUGGAUCAAACCAAUGUGGAUGUAAUUAAAAUUCUUUUCUUUUAACUUCUUUAAAGAUUUUUCUGAAAACAAAUGAAUUGUUUCAAAUGGUGAAGAAAGGGUUAUGUCUCUUUCUUCAGUUUUUAUAACAUAAUCACUCUUUAGAAAAUCAAACUUUUUUGUUUUGUAAAUUUGCUCUUUUGAAAUUUUUGGAAGCUCCCAACAAUCAAUUGCUUUAUCAAAGUUCUCAAUAACGAAUUCUUCCGAGCUCACAACAUGCUUUGAAUCACUAGUCUUCCCGGAAGAAGAGCUAGAAAAGGACGAUGUUCUACAGUGUAGAGGAUUCAUGGUUAGAACCCUAUGGUCUAUCUAUGGUUUGGUCAGAAUGGUUACAGGUAUGGUAUUACAGCCCUAAAACGGAAAACUUAUCCUUGGACGGGACUUACAACUAGUAAAAAUUCACCACAAAAACAAAACUUCAAAAUAGAACACAAGAUUUUAAACACAAAAUUCUAAACUGCUUUACACAAUCCUCCCCUUGGCUCUGAUACCAGAAGGAAAUAGGAUCGAAGGAUGGAUGUGUUUUCGUAAAAACUCUUUAUUGAUUGCUUUAAUAAAAUAAUUGGAUCGUGCUUGGUUUGUUUUAAAUAAUCUUUACCAAGUUUGUUUAUGGAAUUCUUUGGAACAUACAAUGAUCAAACAAAUUUGAACGCUGUUGGUCAAUUUUUAUGUUUGAUAUGGUACUUUGCGUUGUUAUCUGAGGAAUCGCUCCGGCUUAGCUAUUUUAAAGCCGAUAUUUAAUAGCGCUUUGGACCAGUAGUCCGCAUCCUCGAGUGUCUAGCUUAUAUACCAAAAUCAAUUAUUUCUUUACCAAAUAAAAUUAAGUUGCUUUAAACGUGGUUGGUUCUUUUUAUUGGGCUAUUGCCAGAUUUAGAUUAGAUUCUUUUAAAGGCUUGGGUACAUACACAGUACCAGAUCCGGUUCCCGGAAAUGGUGCUCUGAAGGAAUGGAGGGAGAAGAGAAGAUUUACAACUGAGGAUCGAGAUCUGGUCUCUUUGCCUCAGAGGAAUAUAGAAAUUUUUUGGCAGAUCUGAUAAAAACCAGUCUGCUAGCAUGCUUUGAAAAGAAAAGUACUUUAAAAAUAAAUUGCUGGAAUUUAAAUGUGCAUAAAAUUAAAUUGCAGAAAAGUAAAUUGCAGAAAUUUAAAGUACAUGGAAUUGAAAUGGCUUUAAAUAAAAUAAGAUUUUAUUACUUAUUUGAAGAGUCAUAUCAAUAUUUAAGGCUCCAAAAGACACUUCAACUAAGAUUCUUCAAACAAGAGAUGAUUUUUUCUCUUCAAAUUUGGAGAGUUGAUUUUUCCCUCUUCAAUUUGUAUUUUAUUAUUUUUCAUUGGAGAAAGAGAGAGAAUUGCUUUAAUUGCUAUUGACUUUUCCCUUAAAAAAAUAAUUAUUUGAUUAAAAUAAUAUUAAUUUAUUUCUAUUUGAAUAGUUUUUUAGAGAAUAAUAUAUUUUUUCACUCUUUUAUUUGCCACAUAGGUAAGUAAAUAGAUAUUUGAAUAGUAAAAUUAAUAGAGACUUUUGGAGAUGCUCUUACACUAAAUUUCCACUAUUUUUACUGUCAUUUUCUAUAAGAGUAUGACUAUUGGCACCCCUUCAUUAAUCUUAUAAAACCCCUAUUAUACUACAAUUAUAUUUGAGGACAAAUAUAAAUAGAAUUAAGUCAUUUAUAUUUUCUUUCUUUCUUCAAUUUUAUUUUGCUUGAACAAUAUAAAUAUCUUUUAUUAUCAUUAAAAUAAUAUGAAUUUAAGAAGUAAUCCUCUAAGACAAAAUAAAAUUCUUUUAAUAAAUAUAACAACUUAAUUAAUUAAGAUACAAUACAGUGAAAAAAUAAAUUAAAUAAAAUUUUAUCGUACAACAAAUAAUUUUUAAAGAUUUUCAAACUAAUUGCUAAACAAAAAAUUUAUAGGUGAGAUAAAAUUAUAUUAGACUUAUAAAAUAUUUAUCAUUUUCUAAGUAUAACCUUUUUUUUUUACUUUUUUCGGAGUUUUUCAUUAAAAAUUAAAUAAUAAAGAAAGUUUAAAAAGAAGAAUACAAAUAUUAAGACUAAAAGAAUAAAAAAAUAUUACAAAAUGAAAAAUUUAUAAAUGAAAAGAAUAUUUAUACAGAAAAAAUUUUAUUAUAAUUUAUUUUGACGCGACAUUAAAAUAACAUGAUAGUAGGAAUUAUCAUUGUGAUUAUAAAAAAUUGUGGUGCACUUUUAAGACUUCGUUUUAGCAUGGAAAUUAAUUCAAUAAAUAAAGUAAUUAUAUGGCAAAAAGAGAGAGAGAGAGAUAAACGUUUUGAUUUAACUUGGUUUAUGAGUUUGAGGACUUGUAAAGCAAAGGUUCGUAGUGGAUACAUUCCAUUUUCCUCUUUAUUCAGCAUUUACCCGGAUACUGGGUCAAUGUUGUUGGACCCUGCAAAUAUCAAGGUUGCAAUUUAUUAUAUUCAUGGUAACGAGUGGUGGUGACUGGUGAUUGGUGAUUGGUGAUUGGUGAUUGGUGAUUUGCUAAAUUAUUAAUGGGUGGUGGGCUCUGUUUUUAUUUUCACUUUACUGGAAUAAACAACAAGUGGAAGACUUGUUACGCGCAUUUUGCUUGACCCUCCACACUUACUGUUCAAUUUUCUCAUUUUGCUUUUCAAAACUCAAAAUUCAGUUUCUUUCUUUGCAAAACAAAAAAAAAGAAAAAAAUGUCAAUCAUCGGAGAGGCAAUCCUGACGGCGUCCGUUGAGUUGUUGGUCUAUAAGUUAGCUUCAGUGGGGAUUCGGUUGUUUCCACGCCAAGAUCAAAUCCGGGCCGAUCUAAUGAAGUGGAAGGCGAUGCUUUUGAAGAUCAAGGCGGUGCUUGAUGAUGCUGAGGAGAAGAAGAGAACUGAUCAAUUUGUGAAGUUGUGGCUUGGCGAGCUUCAGAACUUGGCUUUUGAUGUUGAAGACUUGUUGGAUGAGUUUCAAACUGAGGCUUUCCGGAGGAAGUUGCUGCUUGGAAAUGGAGAUCCAGCUGCUGCUCUCGAUCAACCCAGUAGCAGUCGUACAAGAACAAGUAAGUUUCGGAAGCUCAUUCUUACUUGCUGCACCACUUUUACUCCACAAUCGAUUCAGUUCGAUUACGCCAUGAUGUCCAAAAUCAAAGAGAUCAACGGCAGAUUUCAAGAAAUUGUGACACAGAAAGACUUGCUGGAUUUGAAAGAAAGUUCAACUGGGGGGUCCAAAAAAGACAGGCAAAGACUACCCACAACCUCUUUGGUGAAUGAAGCCAAGGUAUUUGGCAGGGAAGCAGAAAAGAAGGAAAUUGUUGAAUUGUUGUUGAGGGAUGAUUUGAGAAAUGAUGGUGGAUUCUCUGUUAUUCCUAUUAUAGGUAUGGGCGGGUUGGGCAAAACCACUCUCGCUCAGCUUGUCUACAAUGAUGCUCGAGUGCAGGGCCAUUUUGAUCUCAAGGCAUGGACUUGUGUCUCUGAUGAUUUUGAUGUUAUCAGGCUAACAAAAACAAUUCUAAGAUCCGAUACCGAGCAGACUAUUGAUGACAGUGAUUUAAAUUUGCUUCAAGAGGAGCUGAAGAAGAAGUUAUCUCAAAAGAAAUUUUUGCUUGUUUUAGAUGACGUUUGGAAUGAGAAUUACAAUGGUUGGGAUCGACUCAGACCUCCAUUUGAAGCUGGCGCACCGGGAAGUAAGAUUAUUGUCACAGCUCGUAAUCAAGGGGUUGCAGCCAUCAUGGGGACUGCUCCGGCUUAUCAAUUGAAAAAGUUGUCAAAUGAUGAUUGUCUGUCUGUGUUCGCUCAACACUCUUUGGGGACAAGAGAUUUCAGUUCAAACAAGUCAUUGGAGGAAAUCGGCAAGAAGAUAGUGACCAAAUGCGAUGGCUUGCCCUUGGCAGCACAAACACUUGGGGGUCUUUUACGUGGGAAUCAUGACAGAAGUGAGUGGGAAGAUGUGCUCAGUUGCAAGAUAUGGGAAUUACCAGAAGAGAGAUGUGACAUUAUACCAGCGCUUAGAGUGAGCUACUAUUAUCUUUCGGCACCUUUGAAACAAUGCUUUGCAUACUGCUCAUUGUUUCCAAAGGAUUAUGAAUUUGAAGAGGAGGAGAUAAUUUUAUUAUGGUGUGCUUCGGGUUUCUUGGAUCACAAAGAGAGUGGGAAUCCUAAUGAAGAUCUAGGUCGAAAGUUCUUUCAAGAGCUACGUUCAAGAUCUUUCUUCCAGCAAUCAAGCAACAAUAAAUCUCGAUUUGUGAUGCACGACCUUGUCAACGACCUGGCCCAUUGGGCUGCAGGGGAGAUAUACUUCACAAUGGAGAAUACCUCAGAGGUUAACAAGCAACAAAGUUUUUCCAAAAAUCUUCGUCAUCUCUCGUACAUUCGUGGAGAAUAUGAUGGCGUUAAAAGGUUUGAGGGCUUGUAUGAUAUCCAACAUUUGCGAACUCUUUUACCAGUAAUGCAGUCAAAUCGUUCGCCUGGACACUUGGCUCGUAGCAUUCUUCCUAAGUUGUUCAAACUCCAACGCCUGAGGGUCUUCUCUUUGCGUGGAUAUUACAUCUCCGAGCUGCCAGAUUCAUUUGGUGAUUUGAGGUAUUUAAGGUACCUCAACCUAUCUACAACUGGCAUUAGAACUCUGCCUGAAUCAGUCAACAAGCUUUACAAUUUGCACACACUUCUAUUGGAAGACUGUUGGCGACUGAAGAAGUUGUGUGCAGACAUGGGAAACCUCAUCAAAUUGCAUCAUCUUAAAAAUUCAAAUACAAAUUCCUUGGAGGAAAUGCCACUAGGAAUUUGUAAGUUGACUUGCCUUCAGACGCUGUGUAAUUUUGUUGUGGGAAAAGACAGUGGUUCUGGGUUACGAGAGCUAAAGUCAUUGAUCCAUCUUCAGGGGACACUUAAAAUUUCAAAAUUAGAGAAUGUAAAAGGCAUUGGUGAUGCAAAGGAGGCUCGGUUGGAUGGAAAGAAGAAUCUUAGAGAAUUAUUGCUUCGAUGGACACGCAGUACCGAUGGUUCAUCUUCAAGGGAGGCAGAAACUGAAAUGGGCGUGCUUGACAUGCUCAAACCCCAUAAAAAUCUGGAACAAUUUGGUACCUGUGGCUAUGGAGGUACAAAAUUUCCAACAUGGUUAGGAGAUUCCUCAUUCUCAAAUUUAGUAACACUUAAAUUUGAAGAUUGCGGCAUGUGUACUGCCCUGCCGUCUGUCGGGCAACUGCCCUCUCUACAGCAUCUUACAGUGCGUGGAAUGAGUAGAGUAAAGAGAUUGGGUUCAGAGUUCUAUGGGGAUGACUCUCGAAUUCCAUUUCCAUGCUUGGAGACUCUUCGUUUUGAAGACCUGCAAGAAUGGGAAGACUGGAUUCCUCUUAGAUCUGGUCAGGGAGUUGAAGGGUUUCCUAAAUUGAGAGAGCUUCGCAUUUUAGGAUGUUCUAAACUGCAAGGAAAAUUGCCAGAAUGCCUUCCUGCAUUGGAGAUGCUUGUUAUUGUAGAAUGUGAAGAAUUGUCAGUUUCAGUUACGAGUCUUCCAGCUCUUUGCAACUUGCAUAUUGGUGGAUGUAAAAAGGUUGUGUGGAGAAGUGCAACUGAUCAUAUCGGGUCACAGAAUUCAGUGGUUUGUAGAGAUACAUCAAAUCAAGUGUUUCUCGCAGGGCCAUUGAAGCCGCGAAUACCAAAACUGGAAGAAUUGGAGAUAAAUAAUAUUAAAAAUGAAACAUAUAUAUGGAAGAGUCAUAACGAAUUACUGCAAGACAUUUGCUCUCUCAAAAGACUGACGAUUUUCAACUGUCCCAAACUUCAAUCCUUGGUCGCGGAGGAAGAGAAAGACCAACAACAGCUGCUCUGCGAGUUGUCAUGCAGACUUGAAUAUCUAAGAUUGAGUAAUUGCGAAGGCCUUGUGAAGCUGCCACAAUCAUCGUUCAGCCUCAGUUCCUUGAGAGAGAUAGAAAUCUACAAGUGCAGUUCCCUUGUUUCCUUUCCUGAGGUUGCUCUGCCUUCGAAGUUGAAGAAAAUUCAGAUUAUGCAUUGUGAUGCACUGAAAUUGUUACCAGAGGCAUGGAUGUGCGACACCAAUUCGUCUCUCGAGAUCUUGAAUAUUGAUGGUUGCCGUUCAUUGACAUAUAUUGAUGCUGUCCAGCUACCAUCGAGCCUUAAGAAGUUGAAGAUCUGCGGUUGCCAUAAUAUAAGGACUUUGACAGUGGAAGAGGGCAUCCAUUGUAGCAGCAACAGCAGCAGAAGGUACACCUCAUCUCUUCUCGAGGAAUUGAAUAUUAGCUAUUGUGACUCUCUGACAUGUAUAUAUUCAAAAUACGAGUUACCUGCCACGCUUGAGUCCCUUGAAGUUGGCAAUCUACCUCCGUCUCUUAAGUCCCUUUAUGUUUAUGGAUGUUCCAAACUGGAGUCAAUAGCAGAAAGGUUGGACAACAACACAUCUCUUGAAAAAAUAAUCAUUUUUGGGUGUGAAAAUUUGAAAAUUUUACCGAGUGGUUUACAUAAUCUCCGCCAGCUUCAAGAGAUUAGCAUACGUGAUUGUGGAAAUCUGGUGCCCUUUCCCGAAGGGGGAUUGCCUUGUGCGAAACUCAGGAGGCUGGAGAUAUCUGAUUGUAAGAUACUAGAGGCCUUACCCAAGGGAUUGCACAAUCUGACCUCUCUUCAAGAAUUAAGAAUAAAAGGAGGUGAGCUUCCAAGCCUUGAAGAAGAUGGCCUUCCCACCAACCUUCAUUCUCUGGAGAUUGAGGGUAAUAUGGAGACUUGGAAGUCAAUGAUUGAGCGGGGACGGGGAUUUCACAGAUUCUCCUCUCUGCGACAUCUUAGAAUCGGAGGAUGUGAUGACGACAUGGUGUCAUUUCCACUAGAGGACAAAAGAUUAGGGACCGCGCUUCCUCUUCCUGCCUCUCUAACAUGUCUGCAGAUUUACAAUUUUCCAAAUCUGGAACGCCUAUCUUCUUCAAUUGUUGAUCUUCAAAACCUCACUGAAUUGUAUCUCAAGGAUUGUCGCAAGCUCAAAUACUUUCCGGAGAAGGGCCUGCCUUCCUCACUUUUGCAAUUAGAGAUCUGGAGAUGUCCGUUGAUAGAAGAGAAGUGCAGAAAGGAUGGAGGACAAUAUUGGGACUUGUUAACCCAUAUACCUCUUGUUGUAAUAGCUGGUAAAUUGGUUUUUAGUGAAUAGUGACCGAACAGAGGACGGCUGAAAUAUUUUAUUGAAUACUUGUUAACCCACAUACCUGUUGUUAGCUUUUGAUAUUAAAAAUCGUGGGAAGUCCGUUGAUAGAAGAGAAGUGCAGAAAGGAUGGAGGACAAUAUUGGGACUUGUUAACCCAUAUACCUUAUGUUGAAAUAGAUGGUGAAUGGAUUUUUUAUGUUGAAAGGAUGGAGGACAAUAUUGGGACGACUGAAAUAUUGUUGGUUGAUAGAAGAGAAGUGCAGAAAGGAUGGAGGACUUGUUAACCCCAUAUACCUCUUGUUGAAAUAGAUGGUAAAAUAGGUUUUUGGUGAUAUUUUUGAUUUGUGAAAGGAUGGACGACUGGAAUAUUUUAUUAUUAUUAGUAUUUUCUUUUUUCAAAUUAGGCGUUGAAUGGAUCGUAAAUUGGUUUUUGGUGACUGAACAGUGGAUGACUGAAAUAUUUUAUAAUUACUACUUUUUUUUUUUUCAAAUUGGGCGUGUUUGUGUAUGCUCAAAUGGAUGGUAAAACGAGUACUGAAAUAUUUUAUAAUUACUAUUUUUUAAUUGGGCGUGUUUGUGUAUGUAAUUUCAAAAUUCUAAUCUCAGUUGAAAACUAAUUUAAAUUUAUAUGGUUCACCG
rnacentral:lncRNA from 1 species